rnacentral:lncRNA from 1 species
UAAGGAACGAACAGAGAACUAAAUGUAUGUUACAUAUAAACUUGAUGCUUUUACACCAAAUAGCAAUUCAGUCCUAAUCAGUGUAAAUGCUAAAGUAAAGUUGAAUGAAAACAUAACAAGGAUAAUAAACCAAUGAUGGAAUUACUGUAAUGUUCCAACCACAUUUCAGUCAUCCAUGUCAAGAAGCAACUUUUCCAUUUUCUUUAACCUCUUCUCCAUUUUCUUUCACCCCUUUGCUCAAGGUUUCUUCUGAACUCUUCACCUCACUGUCACCUUCUUUCUGUUUCUCUUUCUCUUCUUUCUCAGCUCUUAGUCUUUCUUCUUCCUCUGCUUUGAGUUUUGCUUCCUCUUCUGCUUUCAGCCUCGCAUCUUCCUUGGCUUGCUCAAUUGCUUUGAUCAAUCUCUCUAAACAUAUGUCAGCACCCUCUCCAGCAGCCUUUGGCAUCAAAUUUUCUGCAACAUCUGCUGGAGUCACAUUGGUUUCCUCCAACAUAUGUUCAAUCUCGGAAAACAGAUGGUGGGACUCAAUGUCCAAGUAAUUCUUAGCCAAUACCUUGAAUGCUUCAAAUCCACAAUAUGAGAGUUCAAUGUGCUUAUCCAUCCUCCCUCUUCUAAUGAGAGCAGGAUCAAGCUUUUCAACAAAAUUAGUUGUGAAAACAAUAAGCCUUUCGCCUCCUAAAGCUGACCAAAGCCCGUCGAUGAAGUUCAGAAGCCCUGAAAGAGUAACCUGGCUGCUCUUCUUUUCCUCCAUAUUUUUCAUCUUCUUCUUGACUGGAUCUUUUUCUUGCUUUUCUUCCUCAUUUUUAUUUUUCUUCUCUUUUUUCUUCUCCCUCUGCCCCGUAAGAUCAAGGGAACAAUCGAUAUCUUCUAUUACAAUAAUAGCUUUGCCCGAUGUAUCAAUCAGCAAUUUCCUCAAUUCAGUAUUAUCCUUAACUGAAGUCAACUCGAGAUCAUACACAUCAUAAUUCAUGAAAUUAGCCAUGGCAGCAAUCAUUGAGGACUUACCAGUUCCUGGAGGACCAUAAAGAAGAUAUCCUCGCUUCCAUGCCUUGCCUAUCUUUGCAUAAUAGUCUUUAGAUUUGCUAAAAGUGGUGAGAUCAUCAAUGAUUUCUUGCUUCUUCUUAGGUUCCAUGGCCAGAGUAUCAAAUGUAGACGGAUGCUCAAAAACAACACUGCUCCACAUUGUCCUCUUGUACCCAUACCAAUCUUCACUCUUCUUGUUGAUGUACAACUUCCGCUGUCUCUGACUUACAGUGAUAGCUUUUCCCUGAUCCAGCACAUGUUUCAGAUACAUCUUUGUGAUGAUUUCUCGGUGUUUUUUGUGAAAAGUGAGUUUGAAAUAUCUCUUCGCCUCUUCUCUGGGAUAGAAUGAAAUCGACUGGCUGGUAGGAGUGUGUUUGUGAGAAGCCCACCAAAGCUUGAUUCCCUCAUAUUCAUCAGUAACCUCCCCGCCUCCUGCAUACUCAGGACUAUCUGCUCGCAAUCUUGGAUGACGUUGGCUCUGAGACGGUUUGCUUGCUUGGUAGAGUUCUGAUCAAGGUACCUUUCAAUGGCCAUAAAGGCUUUACUCCGCUGAAAACCAUCACCUUGAUAUUCAGGGAAUAUGAUUUGGAUAUAUGGGGAGAAAAAGCUUCUAAGUUUCUCCUCAUAUCUCUUAAUUUGGCCACGAAGUUCGCCAGGGAAUAAGUUUUGACACAUUGCCCAGACAAACAUUAUGCUCGCCAUAGCUGACCCUAAACUAGCCCACAUUUCCCCCAUGGACAUCAAUUUACUCGCAUUGAACGAAUAAUGACUAUAUUUUGAAGCUGUGGUAAAGUUUUGUUUCAGAGCUAGUUUGCUUUCCUUAUUUAUACGGAGAAAAUCAACUAAUUCUUCUGUUUUAACCAUCUUCUCAGAAGCUACACAUUGUUUUUCCUAGAAAUGAGAUCCAGUUGGGCCAGUCAUCUUGCGAUCCUUUUUCUUCUGUUCCUCGAUUGUUUGGAAAAAAGAGUAUCUUAUUUUGUCUGUUCAGACUAAGGAAGCUGCAGUGGGAAAACUUGGACUUGGCGACGUUUUCUAGUCAAAAAUGUCCCCACCCUUUCCUCCUCAAACGAACCCUUUGACAGCUCCAAACGAAGCCGCUCAGAUUUUGCUUUGCUGAUCAAUGUUUAAAAACCGAACCGUUAAUUGAACCGGUGAAGUGAAAGGGUCGAGAUUCAAUCGGUCGGACCGAUUCAACCUCGGUUCAAUGAAUUUUUUAAAAAAUAAUUUAUAUAAAUAUAUAUAUGUACAAAAUAAGACAUGUAAUGGACUAAUUUAAUAUUUUAUAUGAUGAAAAGUUUACUAUUUUUUAAUAACUUGGAUUUUUAAAAAUAAAUUUUUUAAAUUAUAAGUUAAAACAAAUAAAUUUUAUCUCAAUUUCAAUUAUAUCUAAAUCCAACCCCAAAAUAUCACAAUAUUUUGAAAUUAUACAAAAUUCAUGUAUCUGAGAAUUUAGAUAUUAUGAAUUUAAAUUUUAAUCUACGUUUUGAGAUUUAGAUAUUGCAAUUUAAAAAAGAAAAUUUGGAGUUCGAAGGAAAUCAAGAAAAUCGAAAAUAGAAAUGUAAACUUGAUAAGAAACAAAAAAUAAAAUAAAAGUGAGUGGUUGUAGCAUUAAAUAAUUUGGGUUAAAAAAAAUUCUUUUUUAACUUUUUUCAAUUUAAUGGACAAAAACAAAAUUAAAAGAUGGAAGAAAACAUUAAUAAAUUAAAAAUAAAGAGGUUUGAUUAAAAAGGAAGUGACAAAAAAGAAAAGAGAGAGAGAGAGAGAGAGAGAGAGAGAGAGAGAGUUGAAAAUUAAAAAGAAAGAGCCAUGAGGGGAUGAGAUUUUGUAAGAAAAAUAGAAAAAGAAAUAUGAGUAUUUGCUUUAUAUAAAUAAGUUAUCAAAAAAAACUAAUAAGAUGUGAUGGUGCAAUGGUUAAUACAUUGGUCUUUUAUUACAAAGGUCUUGGGUUCGAAUCUUGAUUGUUGCAUUUUGCAAAACUAAACUAAAAAAAAAGGGAAAGCUGAAAAUCGGAAAACUGGCGGUUCAAUCCGGUUCGGCGGUUUUCACGGUUCAACCGGUCUUUGACCGGGUUUCUAGCAAAGUCAACAAUGUCAUUGAACCGGACGGUGCCAUGGCCGGUUUGCGGUUCAACCGGUCGAACCGACCGGUCCGGUCCGAUUUUCAAAACAUUGUUGCUAAUCGCAAGAAGCAGACCCAUGUUGUUCUUUCUCUUUUUUUUUUUUUUUUUGUUGUGCUGAUUUUGUUUGCCGUUAACUUUAAUUUCAUCCUCUAUCAAAUAACCAAACACUAGUCAAAUAAAAAAUUAAAUACAUAUUAAAUUAGUAAAUAAAUUUUUUUAUCCAAAUAAAAAGAAAAGGAAAAGAAUAAAUGAAAUUCGUGUUUCAUUUGUUCUUUUCUUUUUCAUUUUAUUUGGAUAAAUCAUUUUAUUUACUAAUUGAAUAUAUAUUUAAUUUUUUAUUAUAAGGAAAUAUUAUUAUUUGUGUUUAAACAAUAUGUAGGGAUUUUAACUCUACAUGCGUAUGCAAAAAUCUAAUUUUCAUCCAAUUUAUAAUUAAAUCUUUAUUCACAAUACUGACAUUUAUUACUUUCAUUAACUAGAUUGUAAACUCUUCCAUUUAUCUUUACACUCCACUUAGUUAAUUCAUCUUCUAUUAUACUUAUGAGUCAUUAUUUCUUUUUAAGAAUAAAAUUGCAAUACUAUGUUUAAAAAGUCCACCCAUUUUCUUUCUUCUUGCUCCUUGCUAUUUUUAUUUCAUUUUUGCUAGGGCCCAUGUAUCUGGAGAGUUCCCAAAUUAUCGGCCAUUUUAAAUGAUGGCCAAAUUUAUAGAGGAGUUAGUAGGUACACAUAAUUGAUUAGACCAAAAAGUGUUAUGACACCAUCUUUGAAUUUUUUUUUUUGCUCCAGGUGGGUUUUAAACUCACCUACAGCCCAAGAAGGGACUGGUGGCCACUGAGCCAAGCUCGGGAGAACACAAGCAAGUGAAUCACAUUCUUAUUUUUUGUUCCACAAUCAACUGGAUUUCACCCGUUCACUUUUGGCUAUAUUUUUAAAUUUGGACCCGACAUUGAUUCGACUGAGGUCAAGGGUCAACGGAUUGAGAUCGAUUGUUCGAUCGGAUGACAUCAUAAAUAUAUUUUAAUUAUUAUAAAAAUAAAAUAAAAUAGAAAGUUACACCUAAUUUGACAUAUAUGAUGGGUUCGUUUGGAGCAAUCAACAAAUUCAUUAACCACCAGCCAUUUUGGACCGGUAGCCACCGUCAAAGACUUAAAGUCUUGAUGGGUAGGAGGUCAAAGUUUAAAUCUCAACUAUUUUACAAGUAGGAAUAUUCACUUUCCACCGUAGCCAUGACCACAAUGGUCAUGCUUCCCUGUCGUUUUACAAGUGCAUGUGCUUGAGAAAGACAUUCGAGGCCAUUUUAAAAAAUUCUUCCUUCAUGAAGAAGAUUGUGACUUGUGAGGUCAUUCUGCUUGCACCAUUGGUGCCUCCAUCCAUUUAUUUAUUUAGUUUGUUACAUAGGAAGAAGUAUUGGUAUUUGUUACUUACAAAUUAGCAGUUUACAUAUACCAUGGGAACAGAAUCUCCCUGUUAUUGUAAAUUAGGACAGCACAAUUUCUCACAUCCACCAUAGUUUUCACAAACAUUAGAUUGGUGCAUUAUUAUUAUUUUGGGUAGGUAACAAUUGAACUAUACUUGGACUUCUAAUUUAGAAAUAGGAAACAACAACUAUCAGGAAGUAUGGUUUAUGGUUUGGUUAUGCCAACAAUGCAUCCCUUAAAACCAAACUAUCUACGAACACAUUUUCACGCCAUCACAAACAAAAUUCUUCAUUGAAAGUAUUGCACCGUCGCCUUUGUUAAUCAUGAAAAUUUGAAAAUUCUUGCCGAUCACUUUAUCUUCAAUUUAUUGGCCUCCUUAGGCAUCAUCUAGUGUCAAAUUUCUUACUGUUGUAAAUUAUCACAAAUGAUCUGACAGGAUUUUUUUUUUUUUUCAUUUCUUCAAUAUCACUAUAGUAUCAACAAAAACAAUAGGAUUUUUUUUUAAUCACUAUCCAACCCCACAAAUAACAUGACAUGAUAUCUCUCUUUGGAUCUCUGUCUUAAUUAGAGCCAAAAAUUCCCGUAAUUGUCAAAUAAUUAGAGUGCUGAAGGACCAAUCUAGUGGCCCAAUUUUAUCUGAUGUUCGAGUACUCUAACUCAUCAAAAGAAAAAUUACAUUUUAAAUUCCUAUCACCAUCUCCUCGUGACUCUAAUUUGAUGAACACCCUAGGAUUAAGAUUUAAAGUUUUGAUACCAUUUGUUUGCAUAUAAAAUUGUACAAUGGAAGCAUAUUUGAUACAUAAAAAAAUAUGUAGGAGAAGAAAAGUUUAAUAAUUACAAGCACACGAAGCACAUCCAACUUUCAUAUUGAAACCGGCAUAAAAUCUAGGUAGAAUUGCCAUUUUUUCCCUCCUAAAUCCCAAAUGAGCUCAGGAAUUUAAGCAAGGGCAAAUCACCGUCUUAGGUUGUCAUCUUUUUUUUUUUUUUUUUUUUUUUUAGUAAUUUAGGUUGUCAUCUAUAUUACUAAAAUUUACGACAUUAAGAUUUUGCUUACCUGGGAUGAUUUAAAAUCUAGUCUAGCCCAUUAUAUCGUUAGGUGUGAGAUUAGUCAUGGCCCAUUUUUAGAGAAUAUCCAGAGGCAGCCAAAAGUAAGGCCUUGUUGGAUACUCCGUCACUACAGUUAUUUAUUUAUUUAAGUCUUUUUUGUGCUCACAACAUUCCUAAAGUUGUUUAUGAACAUUAUUCGCCAAGAUCAAUGUGAAAAUUUAAAAUUUUUUCAAAAACUUUUGCAACUAAAUACUUAUUUUGUUUUAGAGAAAAAUCCAGUUUUGAUAUCCAAUUUUUGAGGUCUGAGCAGUUUUUAUCCUUAAAAUUUGGACAAAAAUAAAUCUAGUACCUAAUCUUUCAACUUUUGAGUACAUUUAGUACCUUUGAUGGUUUUUUCCCAAAUUGUUACCAAAAAGAGUCACGUGAUAAUCACAUGUUCGGCAACUAUUAUAUUAAAAAUGGCAAAAAAAAUGUAAAAUAUCCUUCUGAUACUAAAUACUUUAGUUUAAGGACUAAAUCUUACAUCUUUUUAGCAUUUUUUUAUGCAAUAGUUUACUAUCAUUUGACGCUUUUCGAUAAUAAUUUGAAAAAAUCCGUUAAGGGUACCAAAUGUGCUCAAAAGUUGAAAAAUUAUGUGCUAAAUUUGCUUUUGUUGAAAAUUUGGAGACUAAAAGCACUCAUGCAUUGUUUGACAACAAACCCAAAUGGGGUUUACCUUUGUUACUGGAAAACAAACUAAGUAUUACAAUCGUAUUGUUAGCUUAAAUUAAAAAUUAGGCUAAGUAAGUGAGCUUUUGUCUCCUUAGUGAGAGUUGCUUUUUCUCUCACUUGGAAAAUGUGUGCUUUUCUCUCUUUCAUGGGAAUUUAAAAUUUCAAAACACGUACUUCUCUGAUACUAAAAUCUUGGCCGGGACAGCAUCAAUACAUUGGAAAAUUAAGAUCAGCAAGUCAUAAAUCACUCUAAAUAUGAAUGCGACAUAAAUGCCAAUGGAAGAAAACCAUAUAUUUUGUUAGCAUAAGAAGCAUCUCCAAGCAUUUCCAUCAGUCGGCUAUAUGCUACGGAUAAGAAGCAUCUCCAAGCUAUAUGCUAUAUCCUCCAACCUUGCCGAAUUCUUGAGCCUUGUCUUCCAAAUGUGUGAUUGUGUCUUGUGUCUAGUAUUCCUUUUCUUCUUUCUGUGUAGCAGCCAAAGCCUUAAUGUGCCUUGUACUGUCCCUUUCUUCUAUUUUCUCUACUCCUUUGGUUGAGUUGGCAUGGUUCUAAGUAGAGGUGUCAAAAUGGGUGACUUGGGCGGGUUUGGGUUGGGUAAAAUGGGUAAUGGGUAUAAGUGAAUCAACUCAUUUAUACCCAUUUAAUUAGAUGGGUAUAAAUGGGUAAGUCAAAAAAUGAAUUGGGUAACCCAAUUACCCAUUUAUAACUCAUUUAUUUUAACUUUUUGCAAAUUCAUUUAAAUUCAUUUUUGCAAACUAAGUUAUCAAUUUAUACCACUCUUUGUACCCAUCAUUAGUUUUAAAUAUUUACUUAUAAUGUUCAAUAAACUUAAUUACCAAUUUUUUUCAUUUAUACUCUAUGUCACAAAAUUACCUAUUAUUUAAUAAUUGAAUAAUACGAAUAUAAAAAUUUGAAUUAAGUACUAUAAAAAUUAAUAUAAAAACUUAAUCCAAAAUUUUGAACCCCUAACAUUUUUUUCAUAUAUAAAUUUAAAAUUUUAUUUUAUAAAGAUAAGAAAAUAGGCUAAAAUUUAUCAUAAAUUGGUAAUGCUAAAAAAUGAGCAAAUUAACAAACUAAGAAAAAAUAAAAUAAUAAGGUAAAACCAACAAAUAAUAAUAAUAAUAAUAAUAAUAAUAAUAAUAAUAAUAAUAAUAAUAAUAAUGUUAGCAUCAUGACAAAAUGAAAAAUUUGAAAAAAAAAAAGGUGGGGGAAAAGAAGAGACUUGGGGGGAAGAGAAUUUUAAAUGGGUUAAUUGGGUUUGAUGGGUUACCCAAUAAUACCAAUUUAUUAAAUGGGUAUUAUUGGGUAACCCAUUUAUACCCAUAUGCAUAAAUUUAAGAUACCCAUACCCAUCUAUUCAUGGGCGGGUAUGGGUAAAUCUAGUUAAGUGGGUUGAUUUGCCACCUCUAGUUCUAAGGAAUUGUGUGGUAUACUAUUUAAAACUGUCUUAAACACUAUGGAGGAAGAACUAGCAGAAAUAAUGCAAAAAUUUGUACUUUCAAGCAAAGAGAUAGGUGGAGCUGACCUAGAUCCAGGGGAUAUAGACUCAAGAAUCAAGGAAUGUCAGGCCAACUUAGUGGAAAGAAUCAUGGGGAUAAGAUAGUUAAUUUUGUGGGAGUUGAGAACUUUGUCAUCACAGCCUGGGACUAUCCCAAGUUAAUUUGAAGACGGUGGAACUAGGAUCUAAUUUGUUCCAAUACAACAUUCCAAAGGAAGAAGACAGGAAUCGCAUCUUAAAUGAAGGACCAUAGAUACUGGACAGCCAAAUACUGGUGCUUAGGAAAUGAUUUGCAGGAAUAGAGGAAGAUAGCUCUACAUUUAAUAUAGCUCCAUUAUGGAUACAAGCACAAAACUUGCCCGUCCAUUGGAUUUCCAAAGGAGGAAGGAACACAUUAAACUUCGUAUGAUGGCACACAUAUCUCAGACUUUAAUGAGAGGAAAAAUGGUAAAAUGAAAUAAGGUGAUUAAGUGGAUUAACUUUAAAUAUGAGCGCCGUCCGAAUUUUUGCUACAAAUGUGGAAAAUUGGACACAGCGAAAGGAAUUGCAAAACAAUGGUGGCAAUAGAGAGAGGCCAACUGGAAAACCAAUUUAGUCCCUGGAUGAGAGUUGGAGGAAGUAAUACCUCACCACAGAAGUGCCAAACCAAUAUUAGGAACACAAAUGACAGAAUUCAUUGGGGUUCAAGAAUGAGGAAUUAGUUCCAAGCAAGGCAGUGGAGAAGGAGUUGCAAACUAUAGAGAUGCAGACUGGGAAGGAAAUGACAAAAGAAGUCAAUACAAAGGCAAGAGGCACUAUUUUUUGCAAAAUUUGAGAAAGAGGUAGUUGGAAUUGCACUGUUGGAGGCAAGGGUGAAACAGCAGACUCAAUUAAUUAAGGGAAAUAGUCCAAGGGACACCCCCAAUCAAAGCAACGAUCAGGCAGAAUCAAGCAAUAUCUCUGGUGCCAGAAGCAGCAACCAUGGCGCUGGAAUAGAGGAAAUCCACCUCAAAAACAGCAACCUGGAGGUUGAUAGCCUUAAAAAGGGUAGGAACUAUAGCAGAAUAAAGAAAGCAGCUUGAUCAGAUAGGGAAAAAUGAAUUGCAGAUAGAAAAAAGAGGAAAAGAUGAAACAGGAGCAAGGAGAGGAAAUGCAGGUUGAUGAAGAAUUUCUGAAAAGAUAAAGGUGGUAGCAUUAAAAAAAGGAAGGAGAAUGAACAAGCAAAUCAAAUCACCAACAAGAACCAGACAACCAUUAAAGGAGUUAAAUGGACAGUGUCAUAGACCAGAACACCAAUGGAAGCAAAAGGUUAGUUUGAGAAAUGAGGAAAUGAGGGAUGCUGAGAUGGAAGAUCAAGACCAGAAAAGAAAUAGAAUUACUAAGAUGUCUGUGUGUGAUGCAGGGAAAGAAGUAGGGGUAGAGGCUAGCCCAACCUGGUCUCCAAAAUCCACAUGAGAAUACUGGUGUGGAGUUCUCAAGGUGCAGGCAGCCCCUUGGCAAUUCCAUAGUUGAAGGAGGUUAACAACCUCUUCUCCCCCAAUAUGAUUAUUCUGAGUGUGACAAAAAAUAAGACAAAGUUUAUAAAAAAUUUUAAAAAAGAUUAAAUUUUAAUGAAUGUUUUGUAGUCGAAGCAAUGGAUAGAUUCGGUAGCAUGACACUUAUGUGGAACAAUGACAUAAAAAUUUAGAAAUCAUACAGUCAACAUUAACCAUUGAAGCACAUGUGUUAGACCUUGAAACACAAAUGGAUUGGUGGUUCAUAGGUAUUUAUGCAAGUUGUUUGGAUCAAGUCAAAGGAAUCAAUGGAAAGUUAUUGGAGAAAGGAAAAUGGAUCUAGGAAAACAUGUGGAUAAUAGCAGGUGCUUGUCAAUGAUAUAGUAUCCAAUGAAAAAAAUAGGGUGACAAGGUGAGAGAGCAAUAAAGCUUUAGGGAUUUUAGGAAUUUGAUUGCAGAUAAUGAGUUAAUAGAUAUAGGUUUUGAAGGAAAUCCCUGGAUAUGGUGUAAUGAUUGGGACUGGAAGGGUGAAGUAAGACAAAGGCUUCAUAGAGCUCUAUGUAGCCUACUCCGGUUUCAGACUUUUGAUAGAGCUAAAUGUGUGACAGCCCCACCUCCCCCUAAGGCGAACCAAAGGGUUCGGCGGACCACCUGCCCAACUCUCGUCGGGACUCACUACAGUCCUCAAAUAAAAUACAUCACUCACAUCCAAUAACAUAGGGUACAACCUCAAGAAUAAACGAAAUAACAUUUUUCAAACUUAGAACGAGAUAAAAUACAUUACAAAUCUCAAGUAAGGGUAUCAUUCCCCGAAUAAGACAAAACCCUCAGUUCUCAAAUAAUUACAUCAAAUACUUAUCAAGAGAAUCGAAUUCAAAUUAUAUAUGAGAUAUCCCUUCAGGUACUAAUCACUCAAUACAAGCGCUUUCUUUGGCCUCGAGUCUUGUGGAAAAAAUUAUUUUUGGGGGUCACUAAUUAAGUUUCAGAACUUCCACUUCCAAACCUGUUAAGGAAAACAAAUUGGGGUGAGCUAACGCUCAGUGAGGCCAAGGGAAAAACAUGCAAGCAUGCUAGCAAAGAUACAAUAUAAAGCAAUAACUCGAGUAACCAAUAACUGCGAAACAUUAAGCAAUUAGAGAAUUUAAUCACAAUAAAAGGAUACGGGAGCUCUCAGGAGCUAAUCCACGCGCGAUCCAAGCUCAGGUAGUUGACCCUCCGUCAACUUUCACAGUUAUCCAUGUAGAACUCCACUUACUACCUCCAGCCACCAUGACACCCUCUUGGAUCCGUAACCAAAAAUGCAUGUAGGUGGUAUCACUUAACAAGUAUACCUAGCAAGACCCCUUAUUUGGAUCAAGCUAUAACACUUCCCAAGAUUCACCAAGUUUCUCGACCAAGCCCUUGCCGGCUCGAGUUACAAGGCUAGCCAAUGGGUUGGGGCGUCCCCCCCAUUCACUUUUAGGUCGAUGAGACGAAACUCCAAUCGACAAGAUUUGGUCAUAGCAUUGAGACGGGAUGAGCGGUACCUCCUACCCUAAAAGGGCAUGAUACAUUCUGCCGCUCAAUGCUCACGAAAAACACUUUCAUUUGCAUUCACAUGUAACACGUAUCACUUAUUAAGCAAGCAAUUUCAUGAAAGAGAGGACAAGGGCGAUAAAGUACGCCCUAGCCUCAUUAACUAGCAAGUACAAGAAUCAUUUCAUUUAAACACUUCACAUGCACUUGAUACUCACCAAGUAUCAAAAGUCAAAGUUUGAGAAAUUAGCUCUAAGACGCUUCGCCGGGAGUUCCCUCGAAGUCCUCUUGAGAUCCUGAAAGUAUGCAAUAAUGCAUUGUAUCUCAAAUUCCAGGCCAUACAGUAUUCGUGUAAAGAAAAGAAAUUGUCAAUUUUGACUCCAAAAUUCAAGUUUCCAAAGUAUUUCAGUUCAUAAGGAACCGACUUUCAAAUGAGGUCUCAAGUGAUAGGUAAACUCAAGUUCACCAUGAAAAUAGGUUUGAAAUGCUCUAAGAGUUGUAAAAAUGUAACCUAGGCCCUUAAAAGAACAUUUAGGUCCAAAUUGGAAAUUUUCACUUUUCGAGUCAUUCUUGGAAAAAUCAGUCCGGAAGUUCGGAAAGUCUAAAAAUGGAAAAUUUUACACCGUCAAAAACUUCAUUCGAAGCAUAACAACUUUACAGAAGGUCACUUUCCAAGAAUCAAAUCAGAAACAAGUCAAUUUCUCCAAGAAAGUUUACUAUGCAUUGAAGAUAGGUCAAAACAGUCCAAGUUUUCCAAUAAUUUUGGAAUUUCGUUAAAAAUCAUAGAAUCAAAACUAGCCUUUGAAAUUUGAUAUGCAUGUAAAUUUCCAAUCCAGGUUUCAAAUAAAAAAAAAAUGGAACUCGAUUCCGAUGUUCCUAGCUCAAGAAAUAAAAAGUUGAAGUUCGCAAAAUUCCUGGACUGUUGGCCUUUCCAGAAAUUUUCCAGAUUUAAUGCACUUCGCUAAUUAGGCCGUAUCUCACUCGAUUCUCAGUGAAAUUGAAAACGGUUGGUGGAUUUAGAAACUAGGUUUACAAGGCUAUAUAUGUGUAGAAGAAAUCAUUUCCAAAAUCCAGACAUAAGUGGUUCAAAAUCAAGCAGAAAAUGGAUUUUCUGGACAGUCUCGGAUGAACAGUAAUAAGCAGGCAGCCAACUUUCAAAACUCGCCACGAAUCGCUCGGGAUGAACUAGAAAAUGAGCUUGGUACCAUUUUAAAGCUCUAAGAGUCUACUUUCAAAUGCUGCAAAUGGCAGUCCAUUUCGAUCAACGAGCAAAACGUUAUAGCUACACAAAUGUUGCUGGUCAGAAAAUUCUGGAGCUUGUUCCAGUUUUGCUUCUUUACUUGUAACUCAAAAUUUAACCAACCAUUUGGGUUGAUUUUUGGUAGACAACCACAAUACACAUAGCACAACAUAUCUACACCAAUUUGGAAGCUCAAUUUGCACCAGAAAAUUUUCGAAAUUACAGGGCAGCAAACAAGAAAGUCGGCAGCAAGUCAGAAAUUUCAGACAGUACCUUUCCAAAUUUCUAACUUUCUUCCAACUUCAUUCCAUCAAUCAUUCUAUAUACAUGUAACAUAGCACAAUAUCAGCAACCAAAACAUGUUAAUUCAUCAAAUCAGCCACCAAUAAGCAUCCUCAAACCCUCGAGCAUGUCAUGAAAUUGCAAGAACAUAAUUACUCAACCAAUCAACCCAAAUUCUACCAUAGGUUGCAAACCCAUGCUACCUUUGCUCCAUUUGAGCUAUAAUUUUGCAAGAUUGAAGUGUGGGUGAGUGAGUUACCUCAAAACUUAGUUGGACAGCUUUAGACAGAAAUCUUGACCGAAAUUCCUCCAAGAAAACCGAUGAACAGCCCCUCUUCCAAGCUAGGAUCAAAGCCCUCUAAUGGAUGAUGAAAUUUGGAAGUGGAUUGAAGGUAAUUUUGUAAGGAUUUUGGCUAGAUUUUUCUUCCCAUCUUCUGCCCAAUAGAGAGUGACGAGAGGAGAGAGAAUGAAAUCAGGUAUUGUAAUGAAAGUGGAGAGAAUUGGAGCCUUAAGUCUAAGUGUCAACUCAUGCUAGGUCUGUUUAGGGUCUUCGCGUGUCCAAUUUUCGCGCUCGUUUGCAACUUUUGUGCACUAAACCUCUGAGGUAAUUUCCCUAGUACAUUAAUAGACAUUACUAGUAGUCUAAUAUCAUGUUCUUAAAAUCUCCAAUUAAUCAAAUUAAUGUGCCUGUCGGGGCCUUUUCGGCACGCGCGCGUAUAAAGGUCAAACUUAAGGGUUUUUCGUUUGAACUUGGAAAUUCAACUUAUUCGAUUCUAAAACUCUAAAAUAUGAUAAUCCAAAUAUAUAUAUAUAACAAUAAAAAUCACGAUAAGCAAUUCAUCUUGAAUAAAUUUGGGCAUUAAAAUAAUAUACGCGUAAAGAACCAAUCGGUAAAAUUUAUUUUCGAGAAAUUCAUGUACUUUAGUAUUUUUUUUUUGGGUAACUCGAGUACGAAAUAUUUUUAAAAUGACCAAUUUAACAAUAUUUUGAAAUAAUAAAAUUAUGGGUCCUCACAUCCUCUCCCCCUUAAGAGAAUUUCGUCCUCGAAAUUCAUACCUUAACUCAAAAACUCCAGAUGUCACUUUUGCAUCCCAUCUUACGAAUUGUAAAACUUUUCCGCAUUAAAUAUCACGUAAGUCUUGUAUUCUUAAUCUGUUCACGACGAGCGAGAUAACAAUUCCUUCAUGCGGUUCACAGAUUCAAUUGCCUUAAGAAAUUUGUCAAUUCAAGAACAAAUGAUGUAAUAGCCCUUUAAAUUGGUAUACGCAAUGAACUUUAAAUAUCUCGCAGAUCAAAUUCGAUAAGAUCUUAUUAGCACACAAGUUUUGUCCUACUGGACCUUAACCCUAGUAAUCUUUCAAAAUAGAUAGUAAGAGCCCUCAAGAAUCAAUAACUUCAAAAAUCAUAUCUGGUUCCGUAUACAUGUAUGCAAAUAUCGAAGUACGAAAUGAAACCUUACAUUCAAUAAUAUCUUAUUGUAGUCCCCAAGUCAUUUAUGAGUAUUACUGCCAAUUUUUAACCCAAAUACGACUUAAAGACCCAAAUCCAUUAAUGCUACUGGUGUAUUCAUUACUCCCAAUGGCAUAAUUGAAUUUCAAAGUGCUUACUUUUCUGAUGAACUAGCCUUAAUCAUAUCUUCCUCUAGAAUCCUCAAUUAGUUGUAGUCCUGUAUUAAAUCUAACUUGGAAAGUACUACUGUCUCUUGUAGAUACCAAAUGAUUCAUUUAUGCAAGGUAAAAGAUAUUUAUUCCUAAUACCCACUUGAUUCCAGCUCGAUAUUAUAGACAUGGCCUUCUCACAAGGUUAUAAGCGUAACAAAAUUUAGAUAUACGAAUAAGUCAUGAAAUUGAUUAAAUGCAAAGUAAACUUUCAUUUGCUAUAAAAGACCAUAAUAGUUUCAUCAAGUUAAGCUCGACGAGUUGUCGAGAUUAAAAAAAUAAUUAAUUUGUUUUUAAAAAAUAAAUAAAAUAGUAAUUUUUCUUAACAAAUAAUAAUUAUUAAAAAAAUAUAUGUAAUUUUACUAUUAAAAUAAAAAAAUAAUAAUAUAUAAUCGAGUACAAGCCAGCUCGCGAACUAACUAGUUUAGUAUUUUUGAACUCAAUUUCGAGUUCAAAUUCGACUUGAUCGUCUCGAUCUCGACUUGAGCCGCUAGCAAUCGGCUCGCAAGCGGCUCAAUUCGUUUACAACCCUAAAAAGAAUGGCUGAUAACAAAAUCUUGUAUUGAAAAAUUGGAAAUUAUCUUAAAUUUUUCAUUCAUAAGCUCUCUGUUUAUAAAGCAAAUAAGAAACAAACCAACAUAAUCCUCUACUAUCAAAUCUCAACAAAAGAUACCUGCAAUUCCACAAGUAAAACUAGUCAAAAGACACUAAAUAUGGAACUACUCCUAACAACUAGAUUUAUCCAACAACUAAUUCGUAUAUUCAAGUAUCAAAAAUUUAUAGUGAAGUCGUAUAAUUAUAAAACUCCUUGCUAUUUUUGUUGUAGAUUAUGAAUAGUCUUCUCAAAUCUUCAAACCUUGUUUUAGAUAAGGCUUUUGCAGAAUAUCUGCAAAUUGAUGAUUAGCCUUGUAAUGAGCCACUUCCAAACUAAGUGAUGAUGCUUUUAAUGUAUCUAAAUAACCUCUACAAAGGUUCAAAAUAGAACACUUUCUACAACAUUUAAACCUGAACAGAAAACUUGUAAGGCGCAAUAUAGUUGUUGUGAGAUACAUAAAAACAACCCUUAAAAUUUUUGUAUGAUUCUUUAUAAACUUUGUCACCACCAUCAUGUUUGGAUUUUUCUCUUCAAUUGCCACAAUGCAGUCUAAAUUUUUUGAAGGUUCUUAAAACUUGUAAAUUCAAAAACAGAAAAAUUACAAUCUUCAUAAAUGUCAAGAAUAAGUUUGAUACAUCCUUCCAUCAAUUUAUCAAUCUCCUACUGAAAUUCUUUUGGGAUUUGAAUUUUUUAUCUCGUAAUGUUGUACUCCAGAAUUGUCAAAAGUUGACUAACUUAAAGAGAAAUCCACCUUCGAAUUACCAAAUGCUGACCAAUUCACCGGAAAUUUUUCUCUAUUCAUUUUUAUUGAUAAAAGUUAUUCUCAAUUGGAUAAUCAAUAAUACAAGCCAUUAUUCUUAUGAUAACGAUAUCAAAAAAUGAUGUGUGAAUGUUGGCCUUAGAUCUGUGUCUAACUGCAACAGUGUGACAUCUAAUUUGUGUAUCUAUAGGAUCCUCAAUUAGUGCUAAAACAUGAUGUGUCUUCACCAUAUUUCAUAGAUCACUAACUAUCAAAUAAGUCCAACGUUUUACAACCUAAAUUUGAUAGUUUUCGCCAUAAUAAUUAGAGGGUUAGACAAAAAGUUCUUUCUUGUCAUGGUUUUGAGCUAACAAUGGAUCUUCACCAAUUACAUACACUGUAAAAAAACAACACAAUCCUUCAAAAUAUAGGUUCUUGAUACCAAUUUGUUGGAAGUUAGAACGUAAACUAAAAAAGAUACUUGCACUUAGUGCCGUAAUAAAGCCCUGUAUUGAAACACUGGAAACACCUUAAAUUUGUCAUUCAUAAACUCAUUAUUUUUAGAACAUGUCUUUUGCUAACAAAUCUCAACAAAAGAUACUUGUAUUUCAAAAUAGUUGAACUAGUUAAAAAACACUAAAUGUGGAACUACUCCUAACAACUAGGGCUCUAUUUUGGCACCCUUAUUUUUAGAGGUGUUUUUAAUAGAUAAGUUUUUAAGCUACUUCAUCUACAGAAACUCCCUAAAAACACUACAAAAUUUUUAAAAUACACAUUCCAAAAUACCCCAAGCACGCACCCAAUUCUCUCAUUUACCAUCACUCUCCCUAACCAUUUUCAUUUCCACUACCACUACCCCCACCUCAGCCUACCCAUUUUCCCAAAUACUCAAAUACACAAAAAUUUUUGUAAAACUUUAACAUUAAGGUACAGUAAAAUUUUAGACAAAUUUCCAAAAAACACACUAUUCAAACAUACUUUAGAUUUAUUCAACAACUAAUUCAUGUAUUCUAGUACUAAAAAUCUGUAGUGAAGUUGCACAAUUCCAACACUAUUACUGUAAGAAAAAUAUAUUCAUUUUUGUGGUCAGGUUUGUUGGGUCAUACUGGCCAUUGCAAGUAUUGUAAGCACAAUCAGGUUAUAUAGUUUUGUGACAAGUUGCAAGUAUUAUUUAUGUUUGAUGGUAAAUCCCCAGCAUUUCGGUUUGUAAUUCCAUUUUCUCAUUAAUUUGUGAAUUUCUCAGGACUCCGCAGGUUCUUAACUGCUCUAAUGGAUUAAAAAGGCCAUUCAUAUAAUUUGCCUCGAGAAGGUGCUUACCUACGAAAGAAAUUGAGGACAAAAUUUUAGUUGCAAAGUAGUUGGUAAGGGGUCACAAAUUCUUCAGGAAAAAAGAAUAAUGAUUAACAAUCAUUUUGUACUCUACCCAAAAGAAAAAAAAAUCUAUUUAGAAAAAUAAAAGUCAUCAUUUUUCCCUUUUUUUUUGGUCCCUCUUGUAAUGAAACAGGGAAGCAUACUUUGCACACCAUGGUUGAUGGAAAUUUAUACCAAGCUAUGUUAUUGUUAGCUACCUAAUUGUUAAAGUGCUAUUAUCUUAAUAUUUUGUUCCUAAAGUUCUAGGCAGUCGGAUACAAGUCAAGUUCGAAAACCACGUGAUUAGUCUAUUUCCUUAUCAUUAUAUAGAGUUCUUAGUGAAGGGGUAGGAACGGUUGCAGGAUCCUGAAGAUUCAUGGUUAAGAUUUGGUUAAGAAAAAUGUAAGAUCCAGAUUGUAUGUUGUUCAUCGUUUUUUACAUCAUGUAUGAAGAUCACAAAAUUUUGUUCUAUAGUUAGACGUUAUUGAAAAUGAGUUACACAUAUGCAUACAAAAUUAUAUAUUGUGCAUUUUAUACAAAACCGACCCGAACGAUUUUCCUGACAACCGUUCGAGCCGUGUCCGUUAGUGAUACGAGUCCAUGACUGUUUUGUAUUCCUUGGUCCAGGUUACCCACCUUUGGUUACGAGGAAAGUUGUGAGUCCAUAAAUAUGUCUAGUGCUAUUACAUUAAUAAUGGAAGCGAGAGUUUGAGAGAAUACUUGAGAAAUUCAAGUUAUUGAGUUAUUUGAGAGAAAUUUGUACCGUGAGUUAGAGAGUAAAAGCUACAGCUUGGUCUGGUUAUUAUUGAGAGUUCAGUCAAUAAAAUUGAGCAUUUACUGGUGUGCUUAUUCUUCUCCUCUUUCUAAAUAUUUUUAUAAAAUUGAGUAUUUAGCCUUUGCAGUGCCUUUUUUUUUUGCAUCAAUAAGUGGUAUUAGAACUAGUUAGAGUCUUGAUGUUUUGCAGAGGCAAAUCUGCCUAAAUUUUGUGCUAGUCUUAAUAUGAGAGUCGGAUGUGUUUUAUGUGUUUGCGAUUCUUAAACUCCUCUUCUCCCACAUAUUUUUAUAUGUGUCGAAUAUGCUUUGCUGUGUGGUUUUAUAUCCCAACAAGUGGUAUCGGAAAUUUGGGUUUUGAUCCUAAGGCCUGUGCUCGAAAUUAAGGCACAAAAUUUGAAAUUUUGUUGUUGACAAUUAGGACACAAAAAUUGGUCCUAGUUGGGUAGAAUUAAAAAAAGAAAAAGAAAAAAGGAGAUCCUACCGUAUGAUCAUUUAGAUUGGAAUGGACAAGAACAGUCAAACAAAAUUAAGUUCAUUGUUGAAAUUGGAUUGGUGACAAUUCAUGGAAUCCAUGAAGUUAACCAGGGGAGAGAUUGUAGAUUAAUAUUCUCGUCAAAGUGGUAAGUUAGUUUUUGAUCUAGUUUAUCCAUUGUGUAGAGUUUUGGCUAAUGGUGGAAAAUUUGGAUGAUGACAACCUGUAUUAAAUAUUAGUCAGGUCACAUGCGUUUGAAACAACCAAUGGAAUGAUAUCUUUGACAAUAUGAUUUAGGACAGAUUCUUUGUGCAUAUUGUACAAACAAAAGAUGAAAGGAAAAAGAAGACAAUAUUGUUUUUCAUCAUCAAAAUCAUCCUCCUCAAUCGCACCAAACAAUGUAUGCAACCGAAAAUCGUUAACCCCUUCAAAAUGUUCAUAAAUUUCUCCAUAAAUUUUUCAACCUGUCUUUAUCAAAGUCUACUUCUCACGUAUCACCAAAUUUUGGAAUGUAACGGAUGGGACUGCCAAAAACGCGAUUCGAGCUGAGCGAGCUAGUCAGGGACGAGCUGAUGGGAGGAAAGCGAGUGAACUGAGCUCAGUCCUAGAACGCGAUCCGAGCUGAGCUGCUACGAACUGAGAGGGAGCUGAUGCGCAACUGAGGUGAGUGAACCGACUUGCAAAGGGAGGAACAGCGAGGCUAGUUCCCCGGAGCAGCUCCGACGGUCAAGUCAAUAAGAGCUUGAGAGUAAAGUAACAGUGGGAAGUGCUGUUGAUGGCGUACCUUGUGUUGCCUUGUGGUGCUGUAUUUAUAGACUUGUGGGUAGUAGUUUCCUUAUAAAAUUAGAAGUCCGACUGGAGAGGGAGUCCUUCUAGGGCUCCAUCGGCUAGCUCCAAAAGGUUUGGAGGCCACGGCCCACCAGGCCCAUCCAGCGGGGAGGCGGUAGCCAUGUGCGAGCUGGCAUCCCUCCUGUUCGAGCUAGUCUAGCCGAACUAACAGGUCACCAUGUCCGAACUGACACGUGGCUCCGGUGAAUUUGCUCCUCUAAAAUAGCCCACCUCUGAAGACUAGAGUCAUCGCAUGGUCGCAUGAAUCUAGUCCUAGUUUGGGGGGACAUGUCAGUUUGACUACACGUGUUCACGAGCGUCGAGUAGAACCGGCUGAGCUGGACGCUUUUUCUCAAGAGGUUGAAGCUCUAAAGAAGCAACUGGUUCAAAUUCAUACAGACCUUGAGGUGGUGACCUGCAAAGAACAUCGCUCUGUCCGCUCAACUGGAGGCCGAACUGAAGAGUCAGCAGGUCAUUACUCAACUAGGGGCCGAACAGAGGAGGUUGGCUGAACUGAACGGUCGGCAGGUCAUUACUCAACUAGCGGCCGAACAGAGGAAUUCUACUCUCUUUGCUCAGAGGCCGAACAGAAGAAGUUCUAUCAUCUCUGUUUUGAGGCCGAACAGAGAAGUUCUACCAUCUCUGUUGUAAGGCCGAACGGAGGAGUUCUGUCCUCUCCGCUCAAUUGGAGGAGCUCGGAUAGAAGAAGUUCUAUCCUCUCUGCUCAGUUGGAGCUCGAAUAGAAGAAGUUCUAUUCUCUCUGCUCAGUUGGAGCUCGGAUAGAAGGAGUUCUAUCGUCUCUGCUCAAUUAGGGGAGCUCGGAUAGAAGGAGUUCUAUCAUCUGCUCAGUUGGAGGAGCUCGGAUAGAAAGAGUUCUAUCGUCUCUGCUCAGUUGGAGGAGCUCGGAUAGAAGGAGUUCUAUCCUCUCUGCUCACUCUUCAGGCAGUUUGCUUCUAUGGCAUUAGCCCUCUCGUGAGCUCGAUCUAGCAUUUCCCGAACUGACUUGGGAGGUUUCUCGACGAACUCGGUGUAUAGCUUCUGCUUACGCAAUCCAUUGAUGAAAGCAGCCAUGACAACUUUAUCAUCCAGGUCCCGGACCUGGAGGGACUCGUUAUUGAACCGCACCAUGUAUUCGCGCAGUGAUUCCUCAGGCUUUUGCUGAAUGGUCAUCAGGUGAACAGUGCUCUUAGAGAAGGCUCGCGACGAAACGAACUGAGCUGUGAACAGUCGCGCGAGCUGGCUAAAGGACCGAAUUGAUCUAGGAGGCAACUCUUGAAACCACUGUCGUGCCUUUCCCUCCAGGAACAUUGGGAAAGUUUUGCACCUAACGGCAUCAGCGGCCGUUUGUAGGCGUAUUUGCGUCAUAAACUCGAACAAGUGGUCCUCCGGAUCCGUGGUAGCGUCGUAAGGUUUCAUGCUUGGUAUUUUGAACUUAGCAGGUAGCGGGUAGUUCUCAAUGUCAGGCACGAAGGGGGAGGCGGUAUACAUGUCUGCUUCUGGAUCCAAUAACAGAUCCAGUUCAUCCUGUACAUGGUACCCUUCUUUCCUGGGAGAGAGCUUCCUCCUUGGGAACCCUUGGAAGGGCUCCGGGUGCUCAGUUCGGGAACUCUUGUGAGAGGGCUCCAUAACCUCGAACUGUUCAUGUGUAAGCUCUUUCUGCGCCCGCUUUGGGCGAGGGUUGGAACUUUCCAUUCUAGACUUUCACAGCCCAACUCCAUCCAUCCUCUGUGUCUUGGACUCCUGGUCGUGAUGGCCUCCUGACUGCCCCUUUAGGUAGUUCACAAUAGCCUCAAAGGUGGGCAGAUUUUUGACUACUGCUUGCACUAGUUGUUCAAGUGGAUUCGCGAGAGCUCUGUCCCGUCAUUCCCCCGCAUGGGAUCCUGACGGAAAUUUUGGGGGUUGCUCUGCUCGUUCUCCUUGGACCCAUCAGCAUUUCUCUGGGAUCUAGUUCUCGGCAUGAUUCGCGAAAGGAAGAAUUACGUUCCCACAGAUGGCGCCAAUUGAUGCGACUGCCAAAAACAAGAUCCUAGCUGAGCUGCUGCGAGCUGAGCGAUGGUCAGGGAUGAGCUGAUGGGAGGAAAGCGAGCGAACUGAGCUCAGUCCUAGAACGCGAUCCUAGCUGAGCUGCUACGAACUGAGAGGGAGUUGAUGCGCAGGUGAGGUGAGAGAACCGACCUGCAAAGGGAGGAACGGCGGGGCUAGUUCCCCGAAGCAGCUCCGACGGUCAAGUCAGUAAGAGCUUGAGAGUAAAGUAACAGUUGAAGUGCUGUUGAUGGCGUACCUUGUGUUGCCUUGUGGUGCUGUAUUUAUAGACUUGUGGGUAGUAAUUUCCUUAUAGGAUUAGAAGUCUAGCUGGAGAGGGAGUCCUUCUAGGGCUCCAUCGGCUAGCUCCGAAAGGUUCGGAGGCCACGGCCCACCUGGCCCAUCCAGCAGGGAGGCGGCAGCCAUGCGCGAGCUGGCAUCCCUCCUGUCCGAGCUGGUCUGGCCGAACUAACAGGUCACCAUGUCCGAACUGACACGUGGCUCCGAUGAAUUUGCUCCUCUACAGUAACCAUAGUGAGGAUUUAUACCUACUAUAAAAUUAAAAAAAAAUAUCUUACAAAAAUAUAUGAGGCACAUGAGAAUGACCAAUAAGUUUCCUAAAAAGCAUCUCAAACGUUGAAAACAAUAACUAGCCACCCAAUACAUAGCACAUAAGAGUUGGUAAUUAAGAAACUACUAAAUAAUUACUCUAUACCUUAAACAAGUAAACUAUUAAAAUUGAACUAUACUUGAACUUCUAAUUUAGGAAAAAGAAACAACAAUUAUUAGGAAGUUUGGUUUAGUUAUGCCAACAAUGCAUCCCUUAAACCAAACUUAUGAACACAUAUCCAUGCCAUCACGAGCAAAAUUCUUCAUUGAAAUCAUUGCACCAUCGUCUUUGUUAAUUAUGACAAUCCAAAAAUUCUUGUCGAUUACUUUGUCUUCAAUUUAGUGGCCUCCUUGGAUAUCAACUGGUAUCAAAUUCUUACCCUAUAAAUCAUCACAUGAAUAAUCUUUCUUACCCUGUAAAUCAUCACAUGAAUAAUUUGACAGGAUUUUUUAAUCUCUUCAAUAUCACUCUUGUAUCAACAACAACAAUAGGAUUUUUUUUUCUCCGAUCACUAUCCAACACCAACAAUAACAUGACAUGAUCUCUCUUUUUGGAUCCCUGUCUUAUUAGAGCCAAAAUUCCCCUAAUUGUCAAAUAACUAUAGUGCUCAAGGACCAAUCUAGUGGCCUAAUUUUAUCUAAUGUUCAAGUACUCUAAAUGUCAAAAGAAAAAUCACACUUUAAAUUCCUAUCACCAUCUCGUUGUGAUGAACACCCGGGAUUAAGGUCUAGAGUUUUGAUACCACUAGUUAGCACUUAAAAUUGCACAACGGCCGCAUAUUUGAUACAUAUAAAAAUAUGUGGGAGAAGAGUAGUUUAAUAAUCAUAAACAGAUAAAGCACAUCCGACUCUCAUAUUGAGACCGGCAUAAAAUCUAGGUAGAAUUGUCAUUUUUUUCCUCCUAAAUCCCAAAUGAGCUCGUGAAUUUAAGGUAGGGAAUCACAGCCUCAGGUUGUCAUCUCUGUUUCUUUUUUUUUUUUUUUUUGGUAAUUUAGGUUGUCUUCCAUAUCACUAAAAUUUACGACCUUAAGAUUUUUCUAACUUGGGCUGAUCUUAUUUCUCAAGUGGAUCUUGAAUGAGCUGAGAUGAUUUAAAAUCAUAGUCUAGCCCAUUAAAGUCAUGGCCCAUUUGAAAAGUCAGCAAAACGUAAGCCUUGUUGAAUGCUCUGUCACUACACUUAUCUAUUUUUUUUUAUUUAUUUUUUUUUGUGCUCACAACAUUCCUAAAGUUGUUUAUGAUUUCUUCAAAAACUUUUGCAACUAAUUACUUAUUUUGUUUUACAAAAAAACCUGAAGAGGCUUUCCUUGUUACUGAAAAACAAACUAAGUAUUACAAUGAUUGUUAGCUUAAAUUAAAAAUUAAGCUAACUCAGUCUAAGCAAAUGAGAACAGAACCUUCCAUUCAAGGCAGAGGAAGGAAUUAUAUGUUACUUUUGGCAAUGGGUUAGGUACCAUAAUAAAGCAUGCUUUGCGUUUAUCAAAGGAUAACACCGAAAGGCCUGCAUGUUUAACCUGAACCGUCAAAUUCUAACGCGGAUGAAUUGAAAUUCACAAAAUAUUGCAAUAUUAAAUUGAUGGUUGGUGGCAGGUGGUGGUAGGUUCGAAAUGCUUCUCUCACUUUCACGUAUCAAGAACAAGAAAUCCUCAUCCGGUGACCACAACAAUGGACCCUAUCAUUAGUCGACUUUAAUAUUAUGAUCAGAUUUAGUUGUUUAGAUCAAAAAGUAUGCUUUAGUUAUGUAUAAUUGAUGUCAAAUUAGAUGCUGGCAGCAUUCUUGCAUUACAGUUCGGAAACAAAAAGGGUCAAAUAUAUAUGGGGGAAGCGAUGUCAUAGAAAAUGCAAAUUUUCUUGCAGUCAUGAAAGGAAUCUCUAAUGCAAAGGAGCUGAUAACAUAAAUGCGGUAUAUUCUGCAGUUACCUAUAAAUACCAAGAGCGCUGACUCAUUCACUGGAAAUAAAGUAAAAUGCGAAUGACAAGAAUUAGGACCAUGAAAUUGUAGAAUCACACUGAUGAAGCACGCCAUCAGGGAAAAGCUUGGAUUCAAAGAGAUUACUCGCCCGAGUCAUCAUCAGAAGAACUCUCCGAUACUUCAUUGGGACGAGAUGCCUCCGAAAUACUUGACUCGCCGAGAACUCGAUCGAGUCAUCGAAAACUCAUCCGAGAAGUCUCCAUCAACGGUAGAACCGGUUGAUUUACACUGAAUCACCCUGAGUCAACUCGUCGAGAUUUUCUUUUGUUAAUUUUACAGAUUUUUUUUGCUAAUCUUUUAUUAUUUUUGUUUAGCAUAAUUUUUUUUAAAAUUAUUCACAAUUCUUAGAAUAUUAAAUGCUUCAAAAUUUGCAUCUCGUCGAGACCGCGACCGAUCUACCAAAACAGAUGUGGAAUGGUCCAGGCCCGCAACCACAAUUGCGACUACGACUUUCAACCAUGCUUGGAAAUCUAAUGUACUUGCAGAAAUUCCUCUGCUAUUAAAACUUGAGCAGAAAUUCCUAUGCCAUCAAAUCUUCAGCAAUUUCUUUGAAAUUUUCCAAGAUUUUGAGUGAUUUGUUGUUUAGUCACUUUUUAAUUGCCUAAACAGAAUAAUAGCACGCAAGAGGGAUAUCUAAUACAAUCUUAGAAAUGAAGGAUUUAGAUAGCAGGAAACUAGAGGUAUGUUAUUCUUUAGAAACUCCCCAUUAGUCAUCUUCAGCCAAUGUUAAUGCUGGAUGAAGUAAUAUUUUGGAUGACAAACAACCUUGAAUAUCUGUAGUUGCUCUCAAUAAGGAACGAACAGAGAACUAAAUGUAUGUUACAUAUAAACUUGAUGCUUUUACACCAAAUAGCAAUUCAGUCCUAAUCAGUGUAAAUGCUAAAGUAAAAUUGAAUGAAAACAUAACAAGGAUAAUAAACCAAUGAUGGAAUUACUGUAAUGUUCCAACCACAUUUCAGUCAUCCAUGUCAAGAAGCAACUUUUCCAUUUUCUUUAACCUCUUCUCCAUUUUCUUUCACCCCUUUGCUCAAGGUUUCUUCUGAACUCUUCACCUCACUGUCACCUUCUUUCUGUUUCUCUUUCUCUUCUUUCUCAGCUCUUAGUCUUUCUUCUUCCUCUGCUUUGAGUUUUGCUUCCUCUUCUGCUUUCAGCCUCGCAUCUUCCUUGGCUUGCUCAAUUGCUUUGAUCAAUCUCUCUAAACAUAUGUCAGCACCCUCUCCAGCAGCCUUUGGCAUCAAAUUUUCUGCAACAUCUGCUGGAGUCACAUUGGUUUCCUCCAACAUAUGUUCAAUCUCGGAAAACAGAUGGUGGGACUCAAUGUCCAAGUAAUUCUUAGCCAAUACCUUGAAUGCUUCAAAUCCACAAUAUGAGAGUUCAAUGUGCUUAUCCAUCCUCCCUCUUCUAAUGAGAGCAGGAUCAAGCUUUUCAACAAAAUUAGUUGUGAAAACAAUAAGCCUUUCGCCUCCUAAAGCUGACCAAAGCCCGUCGAUGAAGUUCAGAAGCCCUGAAAGAGUAACCUGGCUGCUCUUCUUUUCCUCCAUAUUUUUCAUCUUCUUCUUGACUGGAUCUUUUUCUUGCUUUUCUUCCUCAUUUUUAUUUUUCUUCUCUUUUUUCUUCUCCCUCUGCCCCGUAAGAUCAAGGGAACAAUCGAUAUCUUCUAUUACAAUAAUAGCUUUGCCCGAUGUAUCAAUCAGCAAUUUCCUCAAUUCAGUAUUAUCCUUAACUGAAGUCAACUCGAGAUCAUACACAUCAUAAUUCAUGAAAUUAGCCAUGGCAGCAAUCAUUGAGGACUUACCAGUUCCUGGAGGACCAUAAAGAAGAUAUCCUCGCUUCCAUGCCUUGCCUAUCUUUGCAUAAUAGUCUUUAGAUUUGCUAAAAGUGGUGAGAUCAUCAAUGAUUUCUUGCUUCUUCUUAGGUUCCAUGGCCAGAGUAUCAAAUGUAGACGGAUGCUCAAAAACAACACUGCUCCACAUUGUCCUCUUGUACCCAUACCAAUCUUCACUCUUCUUGUUGAUGUACAACUUCCGCUGUCUCUGACUUACAGUGAUAGCUUUUCCCUGAUCCAGCACAUGUUUCAGAUACAUCUUUGUGAUGAUUUCUCGGUGUUUUUUGUGAAAAGUGAGUUUGAAAUAUCUCUUCGCCUCUUCUCUGGGAUAGAAUGAAAUCGACUGGCUGGUAGGAGUGUGUUUGUGAGAAGCCCACCAAAGCUUGAUUCCCUCAUAUUCAUCAGUAACCUCCCCCGCCUCCUGCAUACUCAGGACUAUCUGCUCGCAAUCUUGGAUGACGUUGGCUCUGAGACGGUUUGCUUGCUUGGUAGAGUUCUGAUCAAGGUACCUUUCAAUGGCCAUAAAGGCUUUACUCCGCUGAAAACCAUCACCUUGAUAUUCAGGGAAUAUGAUUUGGAUAUAUGGGGAGAAAAAGCUUCUAAGUUUCUCCUCAUAUCUCUUAAUUUGGCCACGAAGUUCGCCAGGGAAUAAGUUUUGACACAUUGCCCAGACAAACAUUAUGCUCGCCAUAGCUGACCCUAAACUAGCCCACAUUUCCCCCAUGGACAUCAAUUUACUCGCAUUGAACGAAUAAUGACUAUAUUUUGAAGCUGUGGUAAAGUUUUGUUUCAGAGCUAGUUUGCUUUCCUUAUUUAUACGGAGAAAAUCAACUAAUUCUUCUGUUUUAACCAUCUUCUCAGAAGCUACACAUUGUUUUUCCUAGAAAUGAGAUCCAGUUGGGCCAGUCAUCUUGCGAUCCUUUUUCUUCUGUUCCUCGAUUGUUUGGAAAAAAGAGUAUCUUAUUUUGUCUGUUCAGACUAAGGAAGCUGCAGUGGGAAAACUUGGACUUGGCGACGUUUUCUAGUCAAAAAUGUCCCCACCCUUUCCUCCUCAAACGAACCCUUUGACAGCUCCAAACGAAGCCGCUCAGAUUUUGCUUUGCUGAUCAAUGUUUAAAAAACCGAACCGUUAAUUGAACCGGUGAAGUGAAAGGGUCGAGAUUCAAUCGGUCGGACCGAUUCAACCUCGGUUCAAUGAAUUUUUUAAAAAAUAAUUUAUAUAAAUAUAUAUAUGUACAAAAUAAGACAUGUAAUGGACUAAUUUAAUAUUUUAUAUGAUGAAAAGUUUACUAUUUUUUAAUAACUUGGAUUUUUAAAAAUAAAUUUUUUAAAUUAUAAGUUAAAACAAAUAAAUUUUAUCUCAAUUUCAAUUAUAUCUAAAUCCAACCCCAAAAUAUCACAAUAUUUUGAAAUUAUACAAAAUUCAUGUAUCUGAGAAUUUAGAUAUUAUGAAUUUAAAUUUUAAUCUACGUUUUGAGAUUUAGAUAUUGCAAUUUAAAAAAGAAAAUUUGGAGUUCGAAGGAAAUCAAGAAAAUCGAAAAUAGAAAUGUAAACUUGAUAAGAAACAAAAAAUAAAAUAAAAGUGAGUGGUUGUAGCAUUAAAUAAUUUGGGUUAAAAAAAAUUCUUUUUUAACUUUUUUCAAUUUAAUGGACAAAAACAAAAUUAAAAGAUGGAAGAAAACAUUAAUAAAUUAAAAAUAAAGAGGUUUGAUUAAAAAGGAAGUGACAAAAGAAAAGAUGAUAGAGAGAGAGAGAGAGAGAGAGAGAGAGAGUUGAAAAUUAAAAAGAAAGAGCCAUGAGGGGAUGAGAUUUUGUAAGAAAAAUAGAAAAAAGAAAUAUGAGUAUUUGCUUUAUAUAAAUAAGUUAUCAAAAAAAACUAAUAAGAUGUGAUGGUGCAAUGGUUAAUACAUUGGUCUUUUAUUACAAAGGUCUUGGGUUCGAAUCUUGAUUGUUGCAUUUUGCAAAACUAAACUAAAAAAAAAAGGGAAAGCUGAAAAUCGGAAAACUGGCGGUUCAAUCCGGUUCGGCGGUUUUCACGGUUCAACCGGUCUUUGACCGGGUUUCUAGCAAAGUCAACAAUGUCAUUGAACCGGACCGGUGCCAUGGCCGGUUUGCGGUUCAACCGGUCGAACCGACCGGUCCGGUCCGAUUUUCAAAACAUUGUUGCUAAUCGCAAGAAGCAGACCCAUGUUGUUCUUUCUCUUUUUUUUUUUUUUUUUUGUUGUGCUGAUUUUGUUUGCCGUUAACUUUAAUUUCAUCCUCUAUCAAAUAACCAAACACUAGUCAAAUAAAAAAUUAAAUACAUAUUAAAUUAGUAAAUAAAUUUUUUUAUCCAAAUAAAAAGAAAAGGAAAAGAAUAAAUGAAAUUCGUGUUUCAUUUGUUCUUUUCUUUUUCAUUUUAUUUGGAUAAAUCAUUUUAUUUACUAAUUGAAUAUAUAUUUAAUUUUUUAUUAUAAGGAAAUAUUAUUAUUUGUGUUUAAACAAUAUGUAGGGAUUUUAACUCUACAUGCGUAUGCAAAAAUCUAAUUUUCAUCCAAUUUAUAAUUAAAUCUUUAUUCACAAUACUGACAUUUAUUACUUUCAUUAACUAGAUUGUAAACUCUUCCAUUUAUCUUUACACUCCACUUAGUUAAUUCAUCUUCUAUUAUACUUAUGAGUCAUUAUUUCUUUUUAAGAAUAAAAUUGCAAUACUAUGUUUAAAAAGUCCACCCAUUUUCUUUCUUCUUGCUCCUUGCUAUUUUUAUUUCAUUUUUGCUAGGGCCCAUGUAUCUGGAGAGUUCCCAAAUUAUCGGCCAUUUUAAAUGAUGGCCAAAUUUAUAGAGGAGUUAGUAGGUACACAUAAUUGAUUAGACCAAAAAGUGUUAUGACACCAUCUUUGAAUUUUUUUUUUUGCUCCAGGUGGGUUUUAAACUCACCUACAGCCCAAGAAGGGACUGGUGGCCACUGAGCCAAGCUCGGGAGAACACAAGCAAGUGAAUCACAUUCUUAUAUUUUUGUUCCACAAUCAACUGGAUUUCACCCGUUCACUUUUGGCUAUAUUUUUAAAUUUGGACCCGACAUUGAUUCGACUGAGGUCAAGGGUCAACGGAUUGAGAUCGAUUGUUCGAUCGGAUGACAUCAUAAAUAUAUUUUAAUUAUUAUAAAAAUAAAAUAAAAUAGAAAGUUACACCUAAUUUGACAUAUAUGAUGGGUUCGUUUGGAGCAAUCAACAAAUUCAUUAACCACCAGCCAUUUUGGACCGGUAGCCACCGUCAAAGACUUAAAGUCUUGAUGGGUAGGAGGUCAAAGUUUAAAUCUCAACUAUUUUACAAGUAGGAAUAUUCACUUUCCACCGUAGCCAUGACCACAAUGGUCAUGCUUCCCUGUCGUUUUACAAGUGCAUGUGCUUGAGAAAGACAUUCGAGGCCAUUUUAAAAAAUUCUUCCUUCAUGAAGAAGAUUGUGACUUGUGAGGUCAUUCUGCUUGCACCAUUGGUGCCUCCAUCCAUUUAUUUAUUUAGUUUGUUACAUAGGAAGAAGUAUUGGUAUUUGUUACUUACAAAUUAGCAGUUUACAUAUACCAUGGGAACAGAAUCUCCCUGUUAUUGUAAAUUAGGACAGCACAAUUUCUCACAUCCACCAUAGUUUUCACAAACAUUAGAUUGGUGCAUUAUUAUUAUUUUGGGUAGGUAACAAUUGAACUAUACUUGGACUUCUAAUUUAGAAAUAGGAAACAACAACUAUCAGGAAGUAUGGUUUAUGGUUUGGUUAUGCCAACAAUGCAUCCCUUAAAACCAAACUAUCUACGAACACAUUUUCACGCCAUCACAAACAAAAUUCUUCAUUGAAAGUAUUGCACCGUCGCCUUUGUUAAUCAUGAAAAUUUGAAAAUUCUUGCCGAUCACUUUAUCUUCAAUUUAUUGGCCUCCUUAGGCAUCAUCUAGUGUCAAAUUUCUUACUGUUGUAAAUUAUCACAAAUGAUCUGACAGGAUUUUUUUUUUUUUUUCAUUUCUUCAAUAUCACUAUAGUAUCAACAAAAACAAUAGGAUUUUUUUUUAAUCACUAUCCAACCCCACAAAUAACAUGACAUGAUAUCUCUCUUUGGAUCUCUGUCUUAAUUAGAGCCAAAAAUUCCCGUAAUUGUCAAAUAAUUAGAGUGCUGAAGGACCAAUCUAGUGGCCCAAUUUUAUCUGAUGUUCGAGUACUCUAACUCAUCAAAAGAAAAAUUACAUUUUAAAUUCCUAUCACCAUCUCCUCGUGACUCUAAUUUGAUGAACACCCUAGGAUUAAGAUUUAAAGUUUUGAUACCAUUUGUUUGCAUAUAAAAUUGUACAAUGGAAGCAUAUUUGAUACAUAAAAAAAUAUGUAGGAGAAGAAAAGUUUAAUAAUUACAAGCACACGAAGCACAUCCAACUUUCAUAUUGAAACCGGCAUAAAAUCUAGGUAGAAUUGCCAUUUUUUUCCCUCCUAAAUCCCAAAUGAGCUCAGGAAUUUAAGCAAGGGCAAAUCACCGUCUUAGGUUGUCAUCUUUUUUUUUUUUUUUUUUUUUUUUUAGUAAUUUAGGUUGUCAUCUAUAUUACUAAAAUUUACGACAUUAAGAUUUUGCUUACCUGGGAUGAUUUAAAAUCUAGUCUAGCCCAUUAUAUCGUUAGGUGUGAGAUUAGUCAUGGCCCAUUUUUAGAGAAUAUCCAGAGGCAGCCAAAAGUAAGGCCUUGUUGGAUACUCCGUCACUACAGUUAUUUAUUUAUUUAAGUCUUUUUUGUGCUCACAACAUUCCUAAAGUUGUUUAUGAACAUUAUUCGCCAAGAUCAAUGUGAAAAUUUAAAAUUUUUUCAAAAACUUUUGCAACUAAAUACUUAUUUUGUUUUAGAGAAAAAUCCAGUUUUGAUAUCCAAUUUUUGAGGUCUGAGCAGUUUUUAUCCUUAAAAUUUGGACAAAAAUAAAUCUAGUACCUAAUCUUUCAACUUUUGAGUACAUUUAGUACCUUUGAUGGUUUUUUCCCAAAUUGUUACCAAAAAGAGUCACGUGAUAAUCACAUGUUCGGCAACUAUUAUAUUAAAAAUGGCAAAAAAAAUGUAAAAUAUCCUUCUGAUACUAAAUACUUUAGUUUAAGGACUAAAUCUUACAUCUUUUUAGCAUUUUUUUAUGCAAUAGUUUACUAUCAUUUGACGCUUUUCGAUAAUAAUUUGAAAAAAUCCGUUAAGGGUACCAAAUGUGCUCAAAAGUUGAAAAAUUAUGUGCUAAAUUUGCUUUUGUUGAAAAUUUGGAGACUAAAAGCACUCAUGCAUUGUUUGACAACAAACCCAAAUGGGGUUUACCUUUGUUACUGGAAAACAAACUAAGUAUUACAAUCGUAUUGUUAGCUUAAAUUAAAAAUUAGGCUAAGUAAGUGAGCUUUUGUCUCCUUAGUGAGAGUUGCUUUUUCUCUCACUUGGAAAAUGUGUGCUUUUCUCUCUUUCAUGGGAAUUUAAAAUUUCAAAACACGUACUUCUCUGAUACUAAAAUCUUGGCCGGGACAGCAUCAAUACAUUGGAAAAUUAAGAUCAGCAAGUCAUAAAUCACUCUAAAUAUGAAUGCGACAUAAAUGCCAAUGGAAGAAAACCAUAUAUUUUGUUAGCAUAAGAAGCAUCUCCAAGCAUUUCCAUCAGUCGGCUAUAUGCUACGGAUAAGAAGCAUCUCCAAGCUAUAUGCUAUAUCCUCCAACCUUGCCGAAUUCUUGAGCCUUGUCUUCCAAAUGUGUGAUUGUGUCUUGUGUCUAGUAUUCCUUUUCUUCUUUCUGUGUAGCAGCCAAAGCCUUAAUGUGCCUUGUACUGUCCCUUUCUUCUAUUUUCUCUACUCCUUUGGUUGAGUUGGCAUGGUUCUAAGUAGAGGUGUCAAAAUGGGUGACUUGGGCGGGUUUGGGUUGGGUAAAAUGGGUAAUGGGUAUAAGUGAAUCAACUCAUUUAUACCCAUUUAAUUAGAUGGGUAUAAAUGGGUAAGUCAAAAAAUGAAUUGGGUAACCCAAUUACCCAUUUAUAACUCAUUUAUUUUAACUUUUUGCAAAUUCAUUUAAAUUCAUUUUUGCAAACUAAGUUAUCAAUUUAUACCACUCUUUGUACCCAUCAUUAGUUUUAAAUAUUUACUUAUAAUGUUCAAUAAACUUAAUUACCAAUUUUUUUCAUUUAUACUCUAUGUCACAAAAUUACCUAUUAUUUAAUAAUUGAAUAAUACGAAUAUAAAAAUUUGAAUUAAGUACUAUAAAAAUUAAUAUAAAACUUAAUCCAAAAAUUUUGAACCCCUAACAUUUUUUUCAUAUAUAAAUUUAAAAUUUUAUUUUAUAAAGAUAAGAAAAUAGGCUAAAAUUUAUCAUAAAUUGGUAAUGCUAAAAAAUGAGCAAAUUAACAAACUAAGAAAAAAUAAAAUAAUAAGGUAAAACCAACAAAUAAUAAUAAUAAUAAUAAUAAUAAUAAUAAUAAUAAUAAUAAUAAUAAUAAUGUUAGCAUCAUGACAAAAUGAAAAAUUUGAAAAAAAAAAAGGUGGGGGAAAAGAAGAGACUUGGGGGGAAGAGAAUUUUAAAUGGGUUAAUUGGGUUUGAUGGGUUACCCAAUAAUACCAAUUUAUUAAAUGGGUAUUAUUGGGUAACCCAUUUAUACCCAUAUGCAUAAAUUUAAGAUACCCAUACCCAUCUAUUCAUGGGCGGGUAUGGGUAAAUCUAGUUAAGUGGGUUGAUUUGCCACCUCUAGUUCUAAGGAAUUGUGUGUGGUAUACUAUUUAAAACUGUCUUAAACACUAUGGAGGAAGAACUAGCAGAAAUAAUGCAAAAAUUUGUACUUUCAAGCAAAGAGAUAGGUGGAGCUGACCUAGAUCCAGGGGAUAUAGACUCAAGAAUCAAGGAAUGUCAGGCCAACUUAGUGGAAAGAAUCAUGGGGGAUAAGAUAGUUAAUUUUGUGGGAGUUGAGAACUUUGUCAUCACAGCCUGGGACUAUCCCAAGUUAAUUUGAAGACGGUGGAACUAGGAUCUAAUUUGUUCCAAUACAACAUUCCAAAGGAAGAAGACAGGAAUCGCAUCUUAAAUGAAGGACCAUAGAUACUGGACAGCCAAAUACUGGUGCUUAGGAAAUGAUUUGCAGGAAUAGAGGAAGAUAGCUCUACAUUUAAUAUAGCUCCAUUAUGGAUACAAGCACAAAACUUGCCCGUCCAUUGGAUUUCCAAAGGAGGAAGGAACACAUUAAACUUCGUAUGAUGGCACACAUAUCUCAGACUUUAAUGAGAGGAAAAAUGGUAAAAUGAAAUAAGGUGAUUAAGUGGAUUAACUUUAAAUAUGAGCGCCGUCCGAAUUUUUGCUACAAAUGUGGAAAAUUGGACACAGCGAAAGGAAUUGCAAAACAAUGGUGGCAAUAGAGAGAGGCCAACUGGAAAACCAAUUUAGUCCCUGGAUGAGAGUUGGAGGAAGUAAUACCUCACCACAGAAGUGCCAAACCAAUAUUAGGAACACAAAUGACAGAAUUCAUUGGGGGUUCAAGAAUGAGGAAUUAGUUCCAAGCAAGGCAGUGGAGAAGGAGUUGCAAACUAUAGAGAUGCAGACUGGGAAGGAAAUGACAAAAGAAGUCAAUACAAAGGCAAGAGGCACUAUUUUUGCAAAAUUUGAGAAAGAGGUAGUUGGAAUUGCACUGUUGGAGGCAAGGGUGAAACAGCAGACUCAAUUAAUUAAGGGAAAUAGUCCAAGGGACACCCCCAAUCAAAGCAACGAUCAGGCAGAAUCAAGCAAUAUCUCUGGUGCCAGAAGCAGCAACCAUGGCGCUGGAAUAGAGGAAAUCCACCUCAAAAACAGCAACCUGGAGGUUGAUAGCCUUAAAAAAGGGUAGGAACUAUAGCAGAAUAAAGAAAGCAGCUUGAUCAGAUAGGGAAAAAUGAAUUGCAGAUAGAAAAAGAGGAAAAGAUGAAACAGGAGCAAGGAGAGGAAAUGCAGGUUGAUGAAGGAAUUUCUGAAAAGAUAAAGGUGGUAGCAUUAAAAAAAGGAAGGAGAAUGAACAAGCAAAUCAAAUCACCAACAAGAACCAGACAACCAUUAAAGGAGUUAAAUGGACAGUGUCAUAGACCAGAACACCAAUGGAAGCAAAAGGUUAGUUUGAGAAAUGAGGAAAUGAGGGAUGCUGAGAUGGAAGAUCAAGACCAGAAAAGAAAUAGAAUUACUAAGAUGUCUGUGUGUGAUGCAGGGAAAGAAGUAGGGGUAGAGGCUAGCCCAACCUGGUCUCCAAAAUCCACAUGAGAAUACUGGUGUGGAGUUCUCAAGGUGCAGGCAGCCCCUUGGCAAUUCCAUAGUUGAAGGAGGUUAACAACCUCUUCUCCCCCAAUAUGAUUAUUCUGAGUGUGACAAAAAAUAAGACAAAGUUUAUAAAAAAUUUUAAAAAAGAUUAAAUUUUAAUGAAUGUUUUGUAGUCGAAGCAAUGGAUAGAUUCGGUAGCAUGACACUUAUGUGGAACAAUGACAUAAAAAUUUAGAAAUCAUACAGUCAACAUUAACCAUUGAAGCACAUGUGUUAGACCUUGAAACACAAAUGGAUUGGUGGUUCAUAGGUAUUUAUGCAAGUUGUUUGGAUCAAGUCAAAGGAAUCAAUGGAAAGUUAUUGGAGAAAGGAAAAUGGAUCUAGGAAAACAUGUGGAUAAUAGCAGGUGCUUGUCAAUGAUAUAGUAUCCAAUGAAAAAAAUAGGGUGACAAGGUGAGAGAGCAAUAAAGCUUUAGGGAUUUUAGGAAUUUGAUUGCAGAUAAUGAGUUAAUAGAUAUAGGUUUUGAAGGAAAUCCCUGGAUAUGGUGUAAUGAUUGGGACUGGAAGGGUGAAGUAAGACAAAGGCUUCAUAGAGCUCUAUGUAGCCUACUCCGGUUUCAGACUUUUGAUAGAGCUAAAUGUGUGACAGCCCCACCUCCCCCUAAGGCGAACCAAAGGGUUCGGCGGACCACCUGCCCAACUCUCGUCGGGACUCACUACAGUCCUCAAAUAAAAUACAUCACUCACAUCCAAUAACAUAGGGUACAACCUCAAGAAUAAACGAAAUAACAUUUUUCAAACUUAGAACGAGAUAAAAUACAUUACAAAUCUCAAGUAAGGGUAUCAUUCCCCGAAUAAGACAAAACUCCUCAGUUCUCAAAUAAUUACAUCAAAUACUUAUCAAGAGAAUCGAAUUCAAAUUAUAUAUGAGAUAUCCCUUCAGGUACUAAUCACUCAAUACAAGCGCUUUCUUUGGCCUCGAGUCUUGUGGAAAAAAAUUAUUUUUGGGGGUCACUAAUUAAGUUUCAGAACUUCCACUUCCAAACCUGUUAAGGAAAACAAAUUGGGGUGAGCUAACGCUCAGUGAGGCCAAGGGAAAAACAUGCAAGCAUGCUAGCAAAGAUACAAUAUAAAGCAAUAACUCGAGUAACCAAUAACUGCGAAACAUUAAGCAAUUAGAGAAUUUAAUCACAAUAAAAGGAUACGGGAGCUCUCAGGAGCUAAUCCACGCGCGAUCCAAGCUCAGGUAGUUGACCCUCCGUCAACUUUCACAGUUAUCCAUGUAGAACUCCACUUACUACCUCCAGCCACCAUGACACCCUCUUGGAUCCGUAACCAAAAAUGCAUGUAGGUGGUAUCACUUAACAAGUAUACCUAGCAAGACCCCUUAUUUGGAUCAAGCUAUAACACUUCCCAAGAUUCACCAAGUUUCUCGACCAAGCCCUUGCCGGCUCGAGUUACAAGGCUAGCCAAUGGGUUGGGGCGUCCCCCCCAUUCACUUUUAGGUCGAUGAGACGAAACUCCAAUCGACAAGAUUUGGUCAUAGCAUUGAGACGGGAUGAGCGGUACCUCCUACCCUAAAAGGGCAUGAUACAUUCUGCCGCUCAAUGCUCACGAAAAACACUUUCAUUUGCAUUCACAUGUAACACGUAUCACUUAUUAAGCAAGCAAUUUCAUGAAAGAUAGGACAAGGGCGAUAAAGUACGCCCUAGCCUCAUUAACUAGCAAGUACAAGAAUCAUUUCAUUUAAACACUUCACAUGCACUUGAUACUCACCAAGUGUCAAAAGUCAAAGUUUGAGAAAUUAGCUCUAAGACUCUUCGCCGGGAGUUCCCUUGAAGUCCUCUUGAGAUCCUGAAAGUAUGCAAUAAUGCAUUGUAUCUCAAAUUUCAGGCCAUACAGUAUUCGUGUAAAGAAAAGAAAUUGUCAAUUUUGACUCCAAAAUUCAAGUUUCCAAAGUAUUUCAAUUCAUAAGGAACCGACUUUCAAAUGAGGUCUCAAGUGAUAGGUAAACUCAAGUUCACCAUGAAAAUAGGUUUGAAAUGCUCUAAGAGUUGUAAAAAUGUAACCUAGGCCCUUGAAAGAACAUUUAGGUCCAAAUUGGAAAUUUUCACUUUUCGAGUCAUUCUUGGAAAAAUCAGUCCGGAAGUUCGGAAAGUCUAAAAAUGGAAAAUUUUACACCGUCAAAAACUUCAUUCGAAGCAUAACAACUUUACAGAAGGUCACUUUCCAAGAAUCAAAUCAGAAACAAGUCAAUUUCUCCAAGAAAGUUUACUAUGCAUUGAAGAUAGGUCAAAACAGUCCAAGUUUUCCCAAUAAUUUUGGAAUUUCGUUAAAAAUCAUAGAAUCAAAACUAGCCUUUGAAAUUUGAUAUGCAUGUAAAUUUCCAAUCCAGGUUUCAAAUAAAAAAAAAUGGAACUCGAUUCCGAUGUUCCUUGCUCAAGAAAUAAAAAGUUUAAGUUCACUAAAAUUCCUGGACUGUUGGCCUUUCCAGAAAUUUUCCAGAUUUAAUGCACUUCGCUAAUUAGGCCGUAUCUCACUCGAUUCUCAGUGAAAUUGAAAACGGUUGGUGGAUUUAGAAACUAGGUUUACAAGGCUAUAUAUGUGUAGAAGAAAUCAUUUCCAAAAUCCAGACAUAAGUGGUUCAAAAUCAAGCAGAAAAAUGGAUUUUCUGGACAGUCUCGGAUGAACAGUAAUAAGCAGGCAGCCAACUUUCAAAACUCGCCACGAGUCGCUCGGGAUGAACUAGAAAAUGAGCUUGGUACCAUUUUAAAGCUCUAAGAGUCUACUUUCAAAUUCUGCAAAUGGCAGUCCAUUUCGAUCAACGAGCAAAACGUUAUAGCUACACAAAUGUUGCUGGUCAAAAAAUUCUGGAGCUUGUUUCAGUUUUGCUUCUUUACUUGUAACUCAAAAUUUAACCAACCAUUUGGGUUGAUUUUUGGUAGACAACCACAAUACACAUAGCACAACAUAUCUACACCAAUUUGGAAGCUCAAUUUGCACCAGAAAAUUUUCGAAAUUACAGGGCAGCAGCAAACAAGAAAGUCGGCAGCAAGUCAGAAAUUUCAGACAGUACCUUUUCCAAAUUUCUAACUUUCUUCCAACUUCAUUCCAUCAAUCAUUCUAUAUACAUGUAACAUAGCACAAUAUCAGCAACCAAAACAUGUUAAUUCAUCAAAUCAGCCACCAAUAAGCAUCCUCAAACCCUCGAGCAUGUCAUGAAAUUGCAAGAACAUAAUUACUCAACCAAUCAACCCAAAUUCUACCAUAGGUUGCAAACCCAUGCUACCUUUGCUCCAUUUGAGCUAUAAUUUUGCAAGAUUGAAGUGUGGGUGAGUGAGUUACCUCAAAAACUUAGUUGGACAGCUUUAGAACAGAAAUCUUGACCGAAAUUCCUCCAAGAAAACCGAUGAACAGCCCCCUCUUCCAAGCUAGGAACAAAGCCCUCUAAUGGAUGAUGAAAUUUGGAAGUGGAUUGAGGUAAUUUUGUAAGGAUUUUGGCUAGAUUUUUCUUCCCAUCUUCUGCCCAAUAGAGAGUGACGAGAGGAGAGAGAAUGAAAUCAGGUAUUGUAAUGAAAGUGGAGAGAAUUGGAGCCUUAAGUCUAAGUGUCAACUCAUGCUAGGUCUGUUUAGGGUUUUCGCGUGUCCAAUUUUCGCGCUCGUUUGCAACUUUUGUGCACUAAACCUCUGAGGUAAUUUCCCUAGUACAUUAAUAGAACAUUACUAGUAGUCUAAUAUCAUGUUCUUAAAAUCUCCAAUUAAUCAAAUUAAUGUGCCUGUCGGGGCCUUUUCGGCACGCGCGCGUAUAAAGGUCAAACUUAAGGGUUUUUUCGUUUGAACUUGGAAAUUCAACUUAUUCGAUUCUAAAACUCUAAAAUAUGAUAAUCCAAAUAUAUAUAUAUAACAAUAAAAAUCACGAUAAGCAAUUCAUCUUGAAUAAAUUUGGGCAUUAAAAUAAUAUACGCGUAAAGAACCAAUCGGUAAAAUUUAUUUUCGAGAAAUUCAUGUACUUUAGUAUUUUUUUUUUGGGUAACUCGAGUACGAAAUAUUUUUAAAAUGACCAAUUUAACAAUAUUUUGAAAUAAUAAAAUUAUUGGUCCUCAUAUCCUCUCCCCCUUAAGAGAAUUUCGUUCUCGAAAUUCAUACCUUAACUCAAAAACUCCAGAUGUCACUUUUGCAUCCCAUUCUUACGAAUUGUAAAACUUUUUCUGCAUUAAAUAUCAUGUAAGUCUUGUAUUCUUAAUCUGUUCACGACGAGCGAGAUAACAAUUCCUUCAUGCGGUUCACAGAUUCAAUUGCCUCAAGAAAUUUGUCAAUUCAAGAACAAAUGAUGUAAUAGCCCUUUAAAUUGGUAUACGCAAUGAACUUUAAAUAUCUCGCAGAUCAAAUUCAAUAAGAUCUUAUUAGCACACAAGUUUUGUCCUACUGGACCUUAACCCUAGUAAUCUUUCAAAAUAGAUAGUAAGAGCCCUCAAGAAUCAAUAACUUCAAAAUCAUAUCUAGUUCCGUACACAUGUAUGCAAAUAUUGAAGUACGAAUUGAAACCUUACAUUCAAUAAUAUCUUAUUGUAGUCCCCAAGUCAUUUAUGAGUAUUAUUGCCAAUUUUUAACCCAAAUACGACUUAAAGACCCAAAUCCAUUAAUGCUACUGGUGUAUUCAUUACUCCCAAUGGCAUAAUUGAAUUUCAAAGUGCUUACUUUUCUGAUGAACUAGCCUUAAUCAUAUCUUCCUCUAGAAUCCUCAAUUAGUUGUAGACCUGUAUUAAAUCUAACUUGGAAAGUACUACUGUCUCUUGUAGAUACCCAAAUGAUUCAUUUAUGCAAGGUAAAAGAUAUUUAUUCCUGAUACCCACUUGAUUCCAGUCUCGAUAUUAUAGACAUGGCUUUCUCAAAAGGUUAUAAGCAUAACAAAAUUUAGAUAUACGAAUAAGUCAUGAAAUUGAUUAAAUGCAAAGUAAACUUUCAUUUGCUAUAAAAGACCAUAAUAGUUUCAUAAAGUUAGGAUAAGUUUAUCAAAUCAUUUCAAAAGAAAAGAGAAUAAACAAUAUUGUAGCAAAACAUGCUAAGUCAUCCAUGUUCAAAGCAACAAAAGAUUUCAUCCCUUACACAAAAGAUUACAACCUUCAAAAGUCUCAGCAUAGGCUAGGUUAUAAUCAUAAUUCCUGUCCUUAAGCAAAAUCAAAUCCAUCUUCACUCGUAGAGCUUCUAAUACUUUGGUUCUUCUCACAACCAUUAGUAUUAACAACUCCCUCUAACACUCGACUGUUUUGCAGCAGACUUAACGAGCUGCUGAGGAGUUCAUCGGGCAACUUAAAACUUAAUGCUCAGGACUCCCGCAUAGCAAGCAUUUGCUUGUUUCCUUCAGCCCAUAAUCUCAGUGUGAUUAAACUUGCCACAGUAUCCACAAGUUACGGCCUGAUUAGCUUGAGAAUUCUCCUUUUUCUUUUUCUUCUUUUCUCUCUGCUCCACAACAAAUUCAUGUUCACAUCUCUCUUUACGUUUCCCUUUUUUCAUUAUGGGAGUUUCCUUCACUACCCUUAACUUGGUUGCUAGAAAUAUACUGAGGUGAAACUUGAAUAGUGGGUCGCAUCCCCUCAAGUUUUUUUUUCUUUCCUGAAGUUCCUCCAAUACUCCUUCGUAUUUCUUUUUCAUUUCCAAUUUCUUGUUCCAUAAUUCCAUCUUCUCUACAAACUCUUGUUUGCAUCGUUCUUCCCAGAAUUCAACCAAUUUAGUCUGAAAUUCCAACUCCUUGCGAAGAACUUUUAUUUCUAUACGCAUCUCUUCCAAACUUUUCAUUUCAUCCAUUUGCUUAAUCCUAACUGUCAGCCUAUCAACAACUCAAAGCAUCUAAAUGAGUACCAAAUCAAAAUUUAAAACUUAACUAUCCACAACCUAUAAAUUCUCACGCAUCUAAGUCAUCCAGGUAUAUUUACUCUUACCUCUCCACGAAUUUGAUACGUAAGAAAAUUCACACCUACAAAUAAAGUAAUACCCCUUGAUAUAAUGAUAUGUACUUCCGUUCUAAGGUCUUACUCACGUAUGUAGUGAAACCAUAAAUUACACGCCAUAAGAAACAAGUUCCAAACCUUGACUAAAAACUGUUACGCACUAAUAAGACCAGAAUCCUUUUCCUCAAAAGUUUGUCUAAAUCAAAUCAAUCAUGACCUACAAGAUAAAGUCGAGACUUUUGAUAUAUUUUGAAUGUAUCUGUGGCAAAAUGCGAUUCAAAAUUUUCAAAAUUAUAGUUAAAGAUACAAAUUUUCUUCAUGAUCCAAAACUAAAUUUUCUUAGUAAGAGAUUUCAAAUAAUGUUUAACCACAAUCAUCAAUACAUAUUUCAAAUCUCUCAAAUAGAUUUAAGAAGAUUAAUCAUGCAACUUAAUGCAUGAAUUUUAAAACAUAUAUAUAAUAAUCAUAACAUAUACAUGGAGGGUGUUCCAACACUUUUCCUCAAAGUUUCGAGUUAAAUCUAUGUUCGGGUAAAGCGUAUAUUUUAGAAAAUACCUUUAAGAAAGAUAAAUAGACAUGUAGGUUCAUAUUCGCAUAACCUGUGAUCCAACACCUUUACCACCCUUUUAUAUCCAAACCAAGAGCUAACUCUACUAGUACAUAAAACCCGAUCAUUUCUAAUCUCUGAUUCAUAACAAAUAGGCAUUCAUGUUCCUAAGAAAAGAUUCGAACUUGAACUCUAUCUGAUUUCGAUUCUCAAACGAGUUCAAAAUGUGUAUACAUAUAUAUAUAUAUAUAUAUAUAAAUUUUGUGAAAAAGUAAAACAAGUGAAUCUGGGUAUAGUAAUUGUCAAGUAAAAUUGAAAGCGCUUUUGUUCAAGUAGAAUAAAUAGGUAAUGAGUUCAAAUCAUCUCACCAAACCAACGAAAUACUUUCGGAGUUCAAACUUCAUAAAAGUUGAAAGAUGGCCAUAGGACCACUCAUAAUAUACGUAUAAAGCAACUAUUAAAAUUUUGCACAAGAAAAUCUCAUCAAGUUCCCAACUAGGUUAAUCCAUUAUACACUGGUAGAUCUAAUCUUCUGGUUUAUUCUCGAUUCAUAUUCAGUACUAGGGUCUCAUUAAAUUAUAUAAGACUAUCCAUCAAUUUUGUCAUGAGUACAGGGUUGUCUAAACCCUGGGCCACGACCCCUUUUUCCCAUUCCUGCUGCUAUACUUAAUAGAAGUCUAUAAGCACAAGAAAAGGAAUAAUUAAGCAUAAAAGAACUUAAUGCAUAUACAAGUUGCAAAAAUAUUUAGAAUCAAAACAUGCUUCUUUACAUGUAUCAAAAGUUAUAGCAUGAGUUAGAAGUCACAAAACAAGCCCAAUAUGUCAAAUACUGCAUAUAGGCAAUUAAGUGCCACAAAAUAUAGAAGUAUAUGCAAGCAGGAUACAAAAGGCCUCACGGCGUGCACCACCCUUCCUAAGUCCUUAGUUAAACCAAAGGAUCCAAAUAUCACUAAUUUCAAUUAGAUCACAUGCCUUUCCGAAAUUAGAUCCAAUCAAACCAUAACACAAGCUGAAACCAAAGGUUAUCCAUUCGAAAUUCAAAAUCUUUAAUAAGCAAGCCACCAGCCAGAGUACCAUCAUCUCCAAGAAUAACCAGUCUUAGGGUUUUAUAGUUAAAGCCUCAAGCUCCAAGUUCAAACCCAAGAAAUAAGUACAACUUGCUAACUUACGUGUCAAAUGGAAACCAAGUCAAUUCACACUAACUUCGUGCUCUUGAAUGCGGUUAUUCUAUAUUUCAAAGUUCCUUCAGCCCGUACACCUAAAGAUAGGCUCACUCUUCUUGAAAACCAAGAAUUUUAAAACAUAAGAAGAGUAAUCAAAGUAACCAAAAAUCUUAUCAAGUUCAAGAUUUACAUUAUAAAAACAUAAGUUCGCCAUUCUUCCGAAAACUCAAGAUUUUUUUUUUUUGUAAAGCAUAGACAAAUUCAGGUGUGAGAAUACACCAGUAUACAAUCAAGGGGAAAAACUUAGUUUAGAAAAUUUUAAUCUUGUAUCAGCCCAUCAUAUACAAAAUUCAACAAACUCAUCAGUUAUUCACAAAUUUUCAGAUUGAAAUUCAAGUAAAAUUCACAUAUUUACCAAAAUCAGAAAAUUAUACAUACUUAAAGUAUAUAUAUAUUAUUUCCAAUCAUCGUUUGAAAAUAAAACUAGUACAUCCUCGUUUUUCUUUAGAAUUUCAAAGCAGAAAUUCUCUAGGAGGUAAAUGGGCGGGAAAAUGCAUUUUAUUCCUUUGAAACUCUUUUAUCUUGGUUCAAAAUCACCAUACAUGGAGUUUGAUCAUCAAAUCCCGGUCUCUUAUCCUCUAUAGCCAGUACUAAUAAUUGUCUCAAUUCUUUCCAUACUUACAAGUAUAAUAAUAAUUCAAAUUCAUCCAAUCUUUCACUACUAAUCCUCAUCCCAUAUUUUCCAUCAAUAUAACAUCACCUAAUUCCUCAAUUUUUUUUUUAUUUCUACAAGUCCCAAGUAAGAAACUCUCAAAUAAUCAAUUUCUGUAACCCCUAGGAUACAAUAGGUACUCAUUCACAUAAUAUUCAAAUUACUCCCACAGUCAGGCAUCCAAAACUUUAAGUCUAGGAUACACUACGAGAUCUAGGGCCUGGGCUCUGAUACCAACUGUGACAGCCCCACCUCCCCCUAAGGCGAACCAAAGGGUUCGGCGGACCACCUGCCCAACUCUCGCCGGGACUCACUACAGUCCUCAACUAAAAUACAUCACUCACAUCCAAUAACAUAGGGCACAACCUCAAGAAUAAACGAAAUAACAUUUUUCAAACUUAGAACGAGAUAAGAUACAUUACAAAUCUCAAGUAAGGGUAUCAUUCCCCGAAUAAAAUAAAAGUCCUCAGUUCUCAAAUAAUUACAUCAAAUACUUAUCAAGAGAAUCGAAUUCAAAUUAUAUAUGAGAUAUCCUUUCAGGCACUAAUCACUCAAUACAAGCGCUUUCUUUGGCCUCGAGCCUUGUGGGAAAAAAUUAUUUUUGGGGGUCACUAAUUAAGUCUCAGAACUUCCACUUCCAAACCUGUUAAGGAAAACAAAUUGGGGUGAGCUAACGCUCAGUGAGGCCAAGGGAAAAACAUGCAAGCAUGCUAGCAAAGAUACAAUAUAAAGCAAUAACUCGAGUAACCAAUAAUUGCGAAACAUUAAGCAAUUAGAGAAUUUAAUCACAAUAAAAGGAUACGGGAGCUCUCAGGAGCUAAUCCACGCGCGAUCCAAGCUCAGGUAGUUGACCCUCCGUCAACUUUCACAGUUAUCCAUGUAGAACUCCACUUACUACCUCCAGCCACCAUGACACCCUCUUGGAUCCGUAACCAAACAAGCAUGUAGGUGGUAUCAUUUAACAAGUAUACCUAGCAAGACCCCUUAUUUGGAUCAAGCUAUAACACUGCCCAAGAUUCACCAAGUUUCUCGACCAAGCCCUUGCCGGCUCGAGUUACAAGGCUAGCCAAUGGGUUGGGGCGUCCCCCCCAUUCACUUUUAGGUUGAUGAGACGAAACUCCAAUCGACAAGAUUUGGUCAUAGCAUUGAGACGGGAUGAGCGGUACCUCCUACCCUAAAAGGGCAUGAUACAUUCUGCUGCUCAAUGCUCACGAAAAACACUUUCAUUUGCAUUCACAUGUAACACGUAUCACUUAUUAAGCAAGCAAUUUCAUGAAAGAGAGGACAAGGGCGAUAAAGUACGCCCUAGCCUCAUUAACUAGCAAGUACAAGAAUCAUUUCAUUUAAACACUUCACAUGCACUUGAUACUCACCAAGUAUCAAAAGUCAAAGUUUGAGAAAUUAGCUCUAAGACGCUUCGCCGGGAGUUCCCUCGAAGUCCUCUUGAGAUCCUAAAAGUAUGCAAUAAUGCAUUGUAUCUCAAAUUCCAGGCCAUACAGUAUUCGUGUAAAGAAAAGAAAUUGUCAAUUUUGACUCCAAAAUUCAAGUUUCCAAAGUAUUUCAGUUCAUAAGAAACCGACUUUCAAAUGAGGUCUCAAGUGAUAGGUAAACUCAAGUUCACCAUGAAAAUAGGUUUGAAAUGCUCUAAGAGUUGUAAAAAUGUAACCUAGGCCCUUAAAAGAACAUUUAGGUCCAAAUUGGAAAUUUUCAUUUUUCUCGUCAUUCUUGGAAAAAUCAGUUCGGAAGUUCGGAAAGUCUAAAAAUGGAAAAUUUUACACCGUCAAAAACUUCAUUCGAAGCAUAACAACUUUACAGAAGGUCACUUUCCAAGAAUCAAAUCAGAAACAAGUCAAUUUCUCCAAGAAAGUUUACUAUGCAUUGAAGAUAGGUCAAAACAGUCCAAGUUUUCCCAAUAAUUUUGGAAUUUCGUUAAAAAUCAUAGAAUCAAAACUAGCCUUUGAAAUUUGAUAUGCAUGUAAAUUUCCAAUCCAGGUUUCAAAUAAAAAAAAAUGGAACUCGAUUCCGAUGUUCCUUGCUCAAGAAAUAAAAAGUUUAAGUUCACUAAAAUUCCUGGACUGUUGGCCUUUCCAGAAAUUUUCCAGAUUUAAUGCACUUCGCUAAUUAGGCCGUAUCUCACUCGAUUCUCAGUGAAAUUGAAAACGGUUGGUGGAUUUAGAAACUAGGUUUACAAGGCUAUAUUUGUGUAGAAGAAAUCAUUUCCAAAAUCCAGACAUAAGUGGUUCAAAAUCAAGCAGAAAAAUGGAUUUUCUGGACAGUCUCGGAUGAACAGUAAUAAGCAGGCAGCCAACUUUCAAAACUCGCCACGAGUCGCUCGGGAUGAACUAGAAAAUGAGCUUGGUACCAUUUUAAAGCUCUAAGAGUCUACUUUCAAAUGCUGCAAAUGGCAGUCCAGUUCGAUCAACGAGCAAAACGUUAUAGCUACACAAAUGUUGCUGGUCAGAAAAUUCUGGAGCUUGUUCCAGUUUUGCUUCUUUACUUGUAACUCAAAAUUUAACCAACCAUUUGGGUUGAUUUUUGGUAGACAACCACAAUACACAUAACACAACAUAUCUACACCAAUUUGGAAGCUCAAUUUGCACCAGAAAAUUUUCGAAAUUACAGGGCAGCAGCAAACAAGAAAGUCGGCAGCAAGUCAGAAAUUUCAGACAGUACCUUUUCCAAAUUUCUAACUUUCUUCCAACUUCAUUCCAUCAAUCAUUCUAUAUACAUGUAACAUAGCACAAUAUCAGCAACCAAAACAUGUUAAUUCAUCAAAUCAGCCACCAAUAAGCAUCCUCAAACCCUCGAGCAUGUCAUGAAAUUGCAAGAACAUAAUUACUCAACCAAUCAACCCAAAUUCUACCAUAGGUUGCAAACCCAUGCUACCUUUGCUCCAUUUGAGCUAUAAUUUUGCAAGAUUGAAGUGUGGGUGAGUGAGUUACCUCAAAAACUUAGUUGGACAGCUUUAGAGCAGAAAUCUUGACCGAAAUUCCUCCAAGAAAACCGAUGAACAGCCCCCUCUUCCAAGCUAGGAUCAAAGCCCUCUAAUGGAUGAUGAAAUUUGGAAGUGGAUUGAGGUAAUUUUGUAAGGAUUUUGGCUAGAUUUUUCUUCCCAUCUUCUGCCCAAUAGAGAGUGACGAGAGGAGAGAGAAUGAAAUCAGGUAUUGUAAUGAAAGUGGAGAGAAUUGGUGCCUUAAGUCUAAGUGUCAACUCAUGCUAGGUCUGUUUAGGGUCUUCGCGUGUCCAAUUUUCGCGCUCAUUUGCAACUUUUGUGCACUAAACCUCUGAGGUAAUUUCCCUAGUACAUUAAUAGAACAUUACUAGUAGUCUAAUAUCAUGUUCUUAAAAUCUCCAAUUAAUCAAAUUAAUGUGCCUGUCGGGGCCUUUUCGGCACGCGCCCGUAUAAAGGUCAAACUUAAGGGUUUUUUCGUUUGAACUUGGAAAUUCAACUUAUUCGAUUCUAAAACUCUAAAAUAUUAUAAUUCAAAUAUAUUUGGGCAUUAAAAUAAUAUACGCGUAAAGAACCAAUCGAUAAAUUUUAUUUUCGAGAAAUUCAUGUACUUCAGUAUUUUUUUUUUUGGGUAACUCGAGUACGAAAUAUUUUUAAAAUGACCAAUUUAACAAUAAUUUGAAAUAAUAAAAUUAUGGGUCCUCACAAAAUGUGCUUGUGUGGAGAAUUAUGGGUCUGAUCAUAGCAUGCUAAUGAUUGACAAUAACCCCCAAAAUCACGGGAAGAAGAAGCGGUUUCUUUUUUAUAAACGUUUGCUACAACAUGAUGAGAUACAUCAAGUGAUCAAGAAUGCUUGAAAUAUGGAUUGUGAAAGGUCAAGAAUGCUUGAAAUAUGGAUUGUGAAAGGCUAAGAAUGUUUAGACUCACAAAGAAAAUUACCAACUGCAAAAUAGCUCUCCUUAAGUGGAAAAAUAAAUUCCAAGGAAACUCCAAGCUAAAAAUUGCCCAGUUCAAGCAACAAAUGGAGCAAGUGAAAAAAAAAUCAGAUGAAGAGAACAGAAAAGAGAAAAUUAGAGACUUGAAGAUUGAGCCGAAGGAAGCAUACUUAGAAGAAGAAUUGUACUGUAGUCAAGAAAACAGAUGCAUUUUGCUAAGAGAGGGGGAUAAAAACACCCAAUAUUUUCAUGCUAGUGUGACAGGCAGAAGGAAAAUAGAAUGUAGAAUCUGCAAAGAGAAGACGAAUCAUGGACAGGGAGUGAAGAGGAACUGGGAUUGGAGGUAGUAGGUUACUAUAACCAACUCUUCAACAGUUUAGGGGUGAAGUGUUUAGAUGAAAUUUUAGAUGGUAUACCACAUACAAUUUCUAAGCAAAUGAAUGAUAACCUAACCAAAGUGGUAGAAAAAGUGGACAUCAAGAGUGCAUUGUUCUCCAUGAAUCCAAACAAAUCCCCAGGUAAUGAUGGUAUGAGUCCUUUUUUUUUUUCCAAGAAUUUUGGUAUAUUAUUAAAGAUUAUAUCAUCGGUGCCAUCCAAACCUUUUUUCCAUUCUAGCAUUAUGCUGAAGUCUUUGAAUCAUAUGCUGAUCUGUUUAAUUCCUAAAGUGGAAAAUCCCACUAUUUUGAAGCAUUACAGACCCUUAAGUGUCUAUAAAGUUCUGUACAAAAUCAUCUCCACAAUCCUCUCUAAUAGACUCAAAAAGGUUUUGAAUGGCUGUAUUAGUAAAAUUUGGCUGCUUUUGUCCCUGGUAGGCAGAUUUUACACAGUGUUAUAAUUUCUUAAGACUUUUACAUCAUUUAAAAAAUAAAAGGCAAGGAAAGGAUGCAUAUUUUGUCUUGAAAUUAGAUAUGUCAAAAGUGUAUGAUAGAGUGGAAUGGAGAUUUUUCGAAGAAAUAAUGAAGAGGAUGGACUUUUGUGAUAUGUGGAUCAAGUGGAUCAUGAGUUGUAUCUCAAGAAUCACCUACUCCUUUAACAUCAAUGGAGAGUUAAGAGGAUAUGUGAUUCCAAAGAGAGGAAUCAGACAAGGAGACCCUUUGUCUCCAUACAUAUUUUUGCUGUGCUCUGAAGGUUUCACUAAUUUUCCCAAGAAUGCAAGAAAAGAAAAGAGGAUCAUAGGAAUGAAAAUUUGUAAAGAAGGACCAUCAAUAGCUCACUUGUUUAUAACAGGUGAUUCUCUGGUUUUUAGCAAGGCAGAUCCUACUGAAGCAGCUAAGUUGAUACAGAUAUUGAGAAUGUAUGAGAAAGGCUCUGAUCAAGUGAUUAAUUUGAAAAAGUCUUGUGUGUUAUCUAGUAAAAAUGUGUCUCAGUCAACACACAAGGAGAUAUGCAGAAACUUUGAGAACCGUCAAGCUGUAUCCUAAGGGAAAUACCUGGGCUUGCCCAUGGUUAUAACAAGGACAAAACAGCAAAUAUUUGGGUUUAUCAGAGAUAGCUAUGAGAGGAGAAUGAAGCAAUGGAAGAAUAAACUAUUUAGUGCUACUGGUAAAGAAGUGUUACUUAAAGCAGUGUUUAUGGCAUUUUGCACUUAUGCCAUUUCUUGCUUCAAGUUGCCAGUCAAGUUAUGCAAAGAAUUGAGUUCCAUGAUGUCCAAUUUCUGGUAGGGAUAGGCAAACGGAAAGAAGAAAAUCCACUGGUGUUCUUGGCAAAAACUCACACAAGAGAAGAAGAGGGAUGGACUGAGUUUUAGAGGUCUACAAAAUUUUAAUAGAGCCCUGUUGGAGAAACAAGUAUGGAUACUGAUAACAAAUCCUAAUUCACUGGUAGCCAAGGUUCUAAAAUGCCAAAUAUUAUCCUAAGGAGUCCAUUUUCAAAUGUAAAGUCCACCAAAAUGCUUCUUGGAUUUGGCAGAGUUUGAUAGGGGUCAGGGAGAAUGUGGAAAGAGGAACCAGAAGAAAGAUUGGAAAUGGUAAAAGUACAAGAAUAUAGGAUGAUAACUGGAGACCUGAGAAUCCACAAGGGAAGCCUAUAUCAGCUAAGCCUCAGGAAUGCACUGUUCAAAAAGUGGAGGUCCUAAUACACAAUUUCAAGUGGAAGAGACCUCUGGCAGGGAGGAUAGUCUCUUUUGGUUACACAGUGGAAAUGGCCAGGAUACAGUAGAGUCAAGAUAUAAGGAACUCAACAGGCAAGGCAGCAUAUGGCAACAAAGGAUCUGCAGGAGAAGAAACAAGCAUGGAGGAGAAGCACUUAUGGAAACAUCUGUGGAAACUCAACAUAAAACACAAAUUGAAGCUAUUUAUUUGGAAAUGCAUGAACAAGGCCCUUCCUAUUAAUGAAGUCAUCUAUAAUAGAAUCAAGAUGGGUACACCAAUACGAAGAAUCUGUGGAGAGGAUAUAGAGACAAUAGAACAUUUCUUUUUUCAUUGCAGGACAGCUGAGGAAGUGUGGCAGUUAUCACCAGUGAGAUGGGAUGGACUAGAAGAUCAAAAACUUCAGGAAGUGGUGGAGUGCACUGACUGAAGCUAAAUGUAGACUAGAAGGAGUGGAACAUAUAGCACUCACUGUUAAUAUCUUAUGGCAGCUAUGGAAGGCUAGAAAUGGAAGAACCUUCAAUGAGACUCCAAGACAUCCAAUCAAGAUCAUACAGAAGGCACAUGGUGAAUGGCUGGAAUUCACAGAAGUAAGGGAGAAAGAUAAAAAGGAUGAGCACACCAGAAACAGCAAGAGCAGAAAGUGUGCAGCAGGAAAGAAACGAGGCAAUUGGUUUCAUAAACCUCAGCAUAAUAACGAAACAGAAAGCAGACAGCUGCGAGAUGGGGAUUUGAAUCAUAGCAGAAAAUAGCAGCUAUCAAGUCCUAGCUCAAUGGGCACUAAAGGAGUUCAGCUGAGGAAAUAAUCUCAUGAACCAUGCUGUGGCCAUAAAACUUGCAUCAUGUAAGGCAAGGGAACAACAGUGGAGAAAGAUCAAGGUAGGAGUCCCACAGCAGCACUUACUAAAGAUGCUAAGAGCCAACAAGUCCAAAGACAUGAGAUUGUACUCCCACCUAGAGGAUAUCCAUAACUUAUGCUCUAUGACUGUGGAAUGCUAAUUUGUUUUGACUAGAACCAAAAAAUACUGAUAGAAUUUACUCUAUUAGCAAUUAUGCUCUAAGUAUAUCUUUUGACGAGGUGUGGUUUAACCCUCAGUGCCAUAGUGCACUUGUUCACACACAAUAUCAAUAAAAUCACCUAUCGUUUCUGGAGAAAAAAAAAAGUCACCAAAGGGGUGCAUGUUUAACCUGAACAGGCAAAGUCCAACAUGGAUGAAUUGAAAUUCACAAAAUACUGCCAAUAUUAAAUUGAUGGUUGAUGGUAUGUGGUGGUCGGUUCGAAAUGCUUUGUUCCAAAUUGAAAUAUCCUCAUCUGGUGACUACAAUAAUGGAUCCUGUCAGUAGUCGACUUUAAUAUUGUGAUUGCGUUUAGCUGUUUAGAUUAAAAAAAUGUUUUAUUUAGGUACAAUUGAUCUUAAAUUAGAUGCUAGUAGCAUUCUUGCAUUACAAUUCAGAAACAAAAAGGUUCAAGUAUGUAUGGCGGAGGCGAUGUCAUAGAAAAUGCAAUUUUUCUGGCAGUCAUGAAAGGAAUCCCUAAUUCAAAGGAGCUGAUAACAUAAAUGUGACUUGAGAAUGCAGUUUUAAUGGCAUAUUCUACAGUGACUUGAAAAUACCAAAAGCGCUCACUCAUUCAAAUAAAGCAAAAUACGCAUGAAAAAGAAAUUAAGAUCAUGAAAUUGUAGAAUCACACUGAUGAUGCACACCAUUUGGGUAGAAAUUCCUAUGCCAUCAAAACUCUAGCAGAAAUUCCUAUGCCCUCAAAACUCUAGCAAUUUCUUUGAAAGUUUCCGAGAUUUUGAGUGAUGUGUUGUUUAGUCACAUUUUAAUUGCCUAAAUGGAGCAAUACUAAUGGAACACAAGAGGGAUAUCUAAUACAGGAUUACAAAUGAAGGAUUUAGAUAGCAGGAAACUAGAGGAUGUUAUCUUCAGCCAAUGUUAGUACUGGAUGAAGUAAUACUUUGGAUGACAAACAACCUUGAAUAUCUGUAGUUGCUCACCAUAAGGAACAAACAGAGAACCGAGCAUAAACUUGAUGCUUUUACAACAAACAGCAGAAAAUCUAAACAAUGAACAAUGCAAACUUUCUUUGAGGGAAAACGUUUUUAUAGCUCUUAAAUUGCAUGAAUGUUUUGAACGUGCAGAAUUAGCGUUUGAUCACAUACAAUUAUCAUUUUCAGGUAAAUUGAGUUGAUAUGAAGAUACAAAGUUUUGUAAUGGAUAUAAAUUAUGAAUGAAUGUUAUGGGCAGAAAAUAAGAUUAAUCUGAAUAAUCGGCCUUUAAGAUCACAAAUGACUGGUGAUAGUUUAUUCAUAGGCAAGCUGGUCGUAUCAAAGAGCAUUGAUAAUUUUCUCCAAUGCAUAUUCAACCCCUCAUUAGUUCCGAACCAGAGGAAUUCAAUCAACAAAGUUGGAAGUUACGGACAGUAAAACAAAUGUUCAACUGCAUAUUUCAACAUAUGACAGCGUUACUGUACUUCUUUAGGAAGUGAGAAAUUCCACGUCUACAAAUUACCAGAAACAAGUUGAAUUAUUACUGAUAUCAGCACUAAUCAAAGUCCAUAGCAGCGUAAAGCUAAAUUAAAGUUGAAUGUAAACCUAGCAAGGAUAAAGCAACGAUAGAAUUACCAUCAACUUCCGACCACAUUUCAGUCAUCCAUGUCAAGAAGCAACUUUUCCUUUUUCUUUGACCUCUUCUCCAUUUUCUUUCACCCCUUUGGUCAAGGUUUCUUCUGAACUCUUCACCUCACUGUCACCUUCUUUCUGUUUCUCUUUCUCUUCUUUCUCAGCUCUUAGUCUUUCUUCUUCCUCUGCUUUGAGUUUUGCUUCCUCUUCAGCUUUCAGCCUCGCAUCUUCCUUGGCUUGCUCAAUUGCUUUGAUCAAUCUCUCUAAACAUAUGUCAGCACCCUCUCCAGCAGCCUUUGGCAUCAAAUUUUCU